GCAGGUUGCACUGCCCGGGCAGGGCGAGCGUUCUGGCGAAGUCCCUCUUCACCUCCGCGGGGCACUCGGUCGCCAGCGGCGGCAGCUGAGGGGGCGCGCCUUGGCUUUGACUGGGAGGGAACGCCCGGUCGAUGAAGACGCGCAGCCCCUCGCAGCGGCAGUUGGACGAGAUGCCGGCCAGCUCCCGGCAGCACCAGUCCUUCAUCACCUCGAUGGGGAGCAGCGGCACGGCGCCGCAGGUCUGCGAGGCCACGUAGAAACGGCAGCCCUGGAGCGGGUUGACGGGGAGACCCAUCCCUUCGUAGCAGGUGUAGAUGCUGGUGGCGGUCGCGACGCCGGCCAGGACGGAGAAGAUGGCGACGGCUGAGAGGAGGUGCUGGCUGCAGGACGCCAUUGGCGUUUGCUGUGUUUUCUGUGGUGGAGUGGAGCACCGCGCUUGUGAGCUGGGGUUGCGUUUGCAUACACAUGUAUAUAUACUGAGACGAAUGAGUACUAGAGGGAAAAUGAAGCUGGUAAUAUUGGAUGUGGCUCAUGUGAUGGUGAUGAACUGGAGCGCAGUUGAUGGAUCUGUUGGAACAGAAUUUGGCUGCCGAUGUGUUAAGGGUCAUGUGGUGGUGAUGAUGAUGAUGAACUGGUGGGCGAAUCCGUUGGAACAGAAUUUAGCUGAUACGAUGAUGGAUGUGUGUUGCGUGACAUAUAUGUGAUCAUGAUGAGCUGCCGCGCAAUUGAUUAGUUUGUUCGGAGCAGAUUUUGGAGCGAAAUGCAAGCUGGGCAUUGCGUGGAGGAACAUUAAGAGAUUUCGCCCUUCCAAUUUUAGCUUUUCCAUGAACUUAAUUUGGAGGUAAAUGCAAGCAUAUAUGUCUGUUGGCACAUCAACACACAAGACAAGGAAAUAGAACUAGCCAAGCAUUUCCAAGUGACUGUCUCAAAGCGAUCCAGGUUCGCUGCCUUUGUGUGGCAAAGGUAGCGCCGCUGCCUUUCCCACGCGUAAGCAGUACGAUCUCGAUCAACGCUUCAGAUUGUGCUAUAGUGCAGCGUCUACACGAGCAAACAUCGAACAUGUGCACCUACGAACAGUUGGUGCGACAGUACAUCAGUCUGAACCAUCGGUUUCCCAUCGCACGCUUUCCAGUGGGUAGGUCAGGAUACUGUAGCACUGAACCACGCAAAGGCAGCGAAUCCGGAUACGUCUCGAAGGUAGAUAUUUUUUAAAGAAAUCUCGAAACUAUAUUAUCGAUUUUAUAAAUUGCAUUUCAGUGACCUUAACGGCCUUGUGUCGGCUGAAGAGGUAAUCUUCGGUUGGCGGACAAUGCCAAAGGGCUAGUUUUCAUCCGUGCCUCAAUUGAAGAGGACGUUUACGUCCAUGUAUAUAUCGAAUAUGGCCUUGCAUUGUGGCUCUUGCCGAAAAUCUUCUCUUCGGCCCCUCUUACGCCGAAUAGGGCUUCUAGGUCCACUCCCUCGCUCAACUUCUGAUUUUCGAAUGAAGUUGCAUGUUGUCCAUAUACAGGACGAAGAGUAGCUCUUCUGUGUUGUCGUAGAUGACAAGUCUUUUCUUUUUUCCUUUAUUACCUUUCACCAUUCCCUCUCACACCCUUUUCAUUCCCUUCAUCGCUCUCACGCCAUUUUUCAUUUGUGCCAUCCCACUCCUACCCUUUCUCUUCCCACCAUCACCUCACUUCUCCACGUCGCCCAACGAUUCGUUGUUGCUUGCUGAAUUGUUCAUAUGUGUUGUUUCAAAUUAUGUAUAUAAACAAAUUAAAACUUGUAAUAAAAGCUACAAAAGAACUAAAUUUGUACAACAAAAAAUAGCUAAGGUUAUACAAAAAAAAAGAACUAAGUUUCUACAACAAAAAUAAACUUAGUUUAUACAACAAAAAAGUCCAAUCCUAUUUGAUGUGCCUAUCUAAACUUGAAGUCUACCCUCCAAAAUCCACGGAGGGAGACACAAAUAAACAAAUUAUGCUCAAAAUGCUACAUUAGGAGUUCAUUUUAUUUAUUUGUCUCGCAUUCUAGACUACACUACCAAAUUAAGUUGAACUAAAAUCAUUAACAUUCCAGACAUUCAAAACAUUUCUAUUCAAAAUGCAUUAUUAAAUCGGAUUUUACAUCCGAUUAUCACUAAAAUUUCUACACAAAACAAUCCAUGAAAUCAAAUUUCGAUUCUAUAUAACACGAAGCAAUCCAUUAUAUAUAUGUACUAAAAUAUCUAUAUAAAGCAAUCCUAAAUCAACAUAUAGAUGAAUCCAACAGAUAUGGAAGGAGAUGCAAUGGGAGGGGAAGGAGAGGAUUCAACCUUGCUUGUUGGCGACGGGGCGACGACAGGCGGUGACGUCGCGACGACGGGUGGCGGCUGGUCGAGGGGUAGUUAAAAUGAAAGGGCAUGUGGACUAGGUCUUUUACUAAGGUGUGAAAGUUGACUAAGGUGGGCCUUUGCUGGCGUGGGUCUAAAAUACAACGCCAUAGCUAAUAACCAUCCGAAUAAAAGAAAGACUAAUUAAGUUUAAUGAAAUACUAGUUUAAAGCGGAAAUAUAAUGUCUCACGCAUAAUAAUUUGGCACGCCAGUACUAAUUAAUUAUCUACGGUGUGCACAGAAAUGCAAUGUCACCACUAUCUUUCAGAUGGUGAGUACAGAUAGGCCAAUAGAUUUGUGGCGUGUCCAAAAAUAUCCACGUCAGCACUUACCGUUUACAACUGGCGUACCAAUUUAACCGACGACGACGCUAUUUGAAAAAAAAUAGUGUUGACGUUGUAGGAAAAUGAUGCGUUAUCAACAAGAGUUGUGGCUAGUCAUUUCUUCACCAGUGGCUCCAUGUCGGCCGCGCCCUGACACCAAGAUGAUGAAGCCGACACGUCCGCUGGCGUCGCCGGGAGCGAGGAAGAGUAUAGCAUGGGAGACCACUCGUGCUUGGGUCCCACGAAUACCACUACACCUUCCCUUUUGUAGAAGCCAAGCUUGUCGGGCUCGUCAUCGUCGACUGAUUAGCUGCUUGCUCGCUUCACGGAGGCGGAGCUUCACUUUUUAGAGCUCAUGGCUGACCAAUGAUCAUUUAUACGGAGUUAGAUUAGGGUUUAGCUCAAAUAUGUCGUAAAGCACCUGGUUUGAUGUAAAUAUUAUUCAACUUUGAAUGAAAAUCAUUUGGUUUGUCUAAAUUUGCAUCAAAUUUGUUUAUGUUUUUUAAAUUCCUUUUGAAAUGUAACUGGACAAUUGUGGUUACGGUUGGAUGAAACGCUCCCGCAUCGGUGUCUGUGGAUGUUCUCAUUGGUCCGCGAAAAGAUGUGCUGCUCAAUUUAGAGCGUUGGAGAUGCCCUGAGUGAGGCGUAGAUCAAAAGAAAGCUUAGGAGUUAAAUUCACCGAUACUUGUCUUGUUUGUUCACUUUGAUCCAUGUACUCAAGAACUUACUCAAUAUGGUCACAACACAUUCAUCUUGAUGAUUAUACGGUCACCGUUUGAAUGUAGAGCUUCGUAUUUUCUCUAUGUUGACCGGUCGACUCUCCUCCCACAUGGGUCCCAUCUAUCAAUGAAUAAAAGAUUUUAGAAAGAAAGAAAAUGAUAAAAUAUGACGCAAGUGCGAAAUCAAACUGGAGACUUCACUGCUAGGGGUUGCACGCAUAAACCACACGACUAUGCAAGAACACACACAUGCUGGCACACACGUGCACGCAGUGGCGGAGGCAGAUUAUUUUAUAUGGUAUGGCCAAGGCAAGCUGCCAUGCAUACAACAACUCUAAGUUUUAAAAUUUCUUCCAACACCAGCGUGCAUAUAGCUUGAAUUUGACAUUUUUUAGGUGUGGCAGAUGCCUAACCUUGCGAGAUUGCUGCCUCUGUCGCUGCGUGCACGCAACAUAUGACACACACUGACACACGCAGGUAUGUUGUUUUUUUCCUUUUUAGGACCGCUAGUGCACGCUCACUAUAAAGUAACACAUGAUUCGGUUUUUUGUACAGCUCACAUCAAAAUAUAUUUUAUAAUGAUUUUUUUUCUUGCCGGUGAUUCAUAUUCAUAAUGAAUAUUAAAUAAAUGUUUUAUAACCACUCACUACAAUUACUUGUGUAUUUAUUUUCAGCUUUUCUACAUUAUUUGUUUUUGAUUUUUUUUUAAACAUGAAGCCUGAGAGCCAAAAAGCCUCACUCGUUUAUUAGCAAUUUAGCAUACUAUAAACAUAUUCAUCCUAAUAAUAAUGCAAGAACGAUAGAUAAUGAAAAAAACUUUUUUUUGCAAAUCAACAUAGGGUUUUUAUUCCAUAGUGAUAGUGUUACAAUCAUCAGCGACUAAACUACGGAUACAUGGAGGUGGGCGCCCCAACCAGCAGGCUGUGCUAUCCCCACAUCUACCAAAGUUCGCUAAACAAUGUGCAACCCUAUUCUGUUCUCGAAGAAUUUUGACAGGAACAAAAGCCCUAAUGUUCAUAUACUCCCUGAUAUCCGCCACCAAAUGUCCAUAAGCUGAUCUGUUGGGGGAAGCAUCCGCAAUCAUCUUGAGUGCCUCUACACUGUCGGAUUGAAGGAUGAUUGUAGCUUGCGAAUGCUCCGUUGCUAGCUUGAGCCCUUCUUUGAUUGCUUGCAGCUCAGCCUCAAGGGCAUCAUUACAAUGGAACAGCUUACGGUAUGAAGCAAGUAUUACCGCCCCUGUACUGUCCCGCAAAAUCAUGCCCGAACCAGCCGAUCCAUCUACAGCCUGGAAUGAUCCAUCAACUGACAGUGCUACCUCAUGUUCUGCCGGGUGUGGCCAAACCAGUUUGCGCUUAGGAACAUAUCGGUGAACUGCCUGAUGCCCCAUAUCGAACACUGGAGUCUUUCCUUUCAGGAUCUCGUCAACACUUAACGAGAUAUGUUGGUACAUAUUAUAAUAGUUAGAAAGAAAAGACCGGGAAGUAUCCACCGGGGGGUGGUUUUGCCAUGCAUAAGCUCAUUCCGAAGAUGCCAUAUCCGCCAAAGUACCAUAAUGAUCCUGCUCCUGAUGUGUUCAUGUGAUUCAGCAAGCAAAUGUAGUAACCAUUCUGAUCCAGUGCAUGGAAUAUUCACCCGAUUAGGUAGUGGCCACGAGAGCUGCAUUGUAUCCCACAUUAGAGCGGCAUUAGGGCAGACCAACAACGCAUGAAAUGACGAUUCCUCCUCUCUAUCACAGAGACUACAGUGGCCGGAGUUCCCAAUGUGACGUCUGAACUUUUCUGCAUUUGUGGGUAGAGAACCUGAGAUAACCUGCCAUGCAAAAUGCCUCAUCUUAGGGGGGGCAUCAGCACUCCGCACCAGCUUCCAGAUCGGGCGAUCGCCAGUGGGUGCAUCGCUUGCAGAACCCGGAUUAACCUGGUCCCUUACCGAUGACAUAGCAAAAUGAUAGGCACUACGGACUGUAACAUUCCCAGAUUUAUCCCAAGGCCAGGAGAUAAAGUCUUCCUGUUGGUUAGAGGAGGUGCGUAUCUUCAGGAUGGUAUCGAUGUCUCAUUGGCAGAAGUGUUGGUGUAGCAGGUUUAGCUGCCAAUGCCCCCGAUCAUCAAGGAAGUUCUGGACUCUGUUAAGCCGGCAAUUCCGUUUAGGUAGAAUAGGAGUAAACGGAGGGCCCCUAGGAAUCCAAGGAUCCCUCCAAACUCUAAUGCUUGCCCCAUUGCCAACCCGCCAAAUCAUUCCAUGUUUAACUAGUUGCAACCCGUGCUCAAUGCCCUUCCAAACUGCUGAACUGUUUGCUGGGAAAACUGUGUCCAUUAGACUGCCAUUAGGAAAAUACUUUGCUCGGAGGAGUCUAGCGCAAAGCGAGUCUGGUGAUGUUAAAAGUCUCCAAGCCUGCUUUGCUAGCAAUGCCUGGUUAUAGGCGCACAUAUCUCAGAAACCAAUACCUCCUUGGGCUUUAGGAAGUGUCAUGCGCUCCCAAGCAACCCAAGCCAUCUUCUUCUUCCCAUUCUCCACUCCCACCAGUACUGUCGCAUCAUUUUAGAAGGGUCAUCACAAACAGAGAAAGGUAGCUUAAAGAUGCUCAUGACAUAGACCGGAAUAGCUUGGGCCACAACUUUUAUAAGGACCUCCUUGCUCGCAAAGGAAGAGUAUUUUUCACUCCAAUCCACCAAGCACUUACUCAAUCUGGAUUGCAAGGAUUCAAAGCGUCCUUCAUGCAUUCUCCCUUCUGGUAUUGGUAACCCCAAAUACUUUGGCUCAAAUUCCUGCUGUGUGAUACCUACGAUCAACUUAAUCUGCUCUGCAACUUCAGAUGGACAGCCUUCGGAAAAUAGGAUGGAGCACUUAGAGGGGUUAAUAAGUUGACCCGUAGCUGAGGCAUAAGUGCUCAAAACAUCCGAAACAAUCGACGCCGAAUCAGUAGUUGCAUUGAAGAAAAGCAGUGAAUCAUCCGCAAAUAACAAGUGUGAGAUAGCUGGAGCUCUUCUACAAAUUUUAAUAGCUUCUAGUCCCCUUUGUUGGACUGCCUUAUUUAACAGAGAAGAUAGGGAAUCAGCCACGAACAGGAAUAAAAAGGGUGAUAACGGGUCACCUUGCCUUAGACCACGUGAGGGUGAGAACUGCUCCAGAAGACGUCCAUUAAACUUCACUGAAUACCGCACCGACCGUACACACUCCAUGGUUUGUUUAACCCAUUGGGGAGCAAAACCCCAUCUCAAAAGUGCUUGCUCAAGAAAGUCCCAAUCAACCCGAUCAUAGGCCUUUGAUAAAUCCAGCUUGAAAGCACAAAGAUCCUUGUUCCCUGGAGAAGUCUGGAUAUGGUGGAUGCACUCAAAGGCAAUAAUGGAAUUGUCUGAGAUUAAUCGACCUGGGAUGAAAGCACUCUGAUUCUCAGAAAUAAGCUCUGAAAGAAACGGUCUGAGCCGAUUUACCAUGCAUUUUGACACUAUCUUAUAUAUCACAUUACAUAAGGAUAUAGGGCGGAAGUCUUUAAGCGAGGCCGGGUGUUGGAUCUUUGGGAUCAGAACAAUGCUCGUAUCAUUAACCCCCUCUGGCAUAUGACUAGUAAUGAAGAACGGUCGAACAGCUGCAAAGAUUUCUUCCUUCAGGAAACUCCAGUUUUUCUGAUAGAAAUGGGACGGAAAACCAUCCGGGCCUGGUGCUUUCAACGGGCCAAUUUGGAAUAGCGCAUCGGAUAUUUCUUUGUCAGAGAGGGGUGCAAGCAAACUCUCAUUCAUUGCAUCCGAUACUUUAGGUUCUAUCACCGCAAGAGCUGCCUCCGGCACUAUCGUAGGGUCCUUCGUAUAUACUUCUUUGAAAUAAGAUGCAGCCAUACGUUCCAUAUCUGAUGGGGAAUUGCACCACGACCCAUCAAACUUCUGUAGUCUCCGAAUAUUGUUUUUCCUAGCUCGCCACACCGCUUGCCGAUGGAAGAAGUUUGUGUUCCGAUCCCCCUCCUUCAGCCAGACAAUACGGCUCCGUUGCAGCCACAUCAUCUCCUCCCGAUAUAAUAGCUCGUCCAUGGUUGCCAUCUUCUGACGGAUCAGAGUACGAUCCAUGCUAUUGAGCUGCAAAGUUUCUAGUUAUGUACGCAAGCUCUCGAUUUGCUUCUGCACCUGUCCAAAGUUCUCCUUGCUCCACUUCCGAAGAUCUGUCAUGACCGUCUUCAGAGACGUGGCCACACUACCCAAAUAACCCACAGGACGUGAUCGCGACCACGCCCGCGAGAUUAUGUCCGGGAGUGUUUUAUCUCGCUCCCACAUGAUCUUGUAUUUCGGAGAUCCUUUGCGCCUGCGAUCCUCGGUGACAUCCAGGGCAAGCAAUAUGGGGCAGUGAUCGGAGCGUGGGGAAACCAGAUGUUGCACCCUCGCAUACGGAAACUCCUCCCGCCAUUCUUCCGUUGCACACGCCCGGUCUAGCCUCACCCGGACAUUACCCUGCCCAGUCUGACCAUUAUCGUAUGUGAAAGGUGCUCCCGAAAAUCCCAGGUCCAUCAGCUCACAGACGAACAAGGUGUCCCGAAAAGCUUCCAUCUAGUUCUCACCUCUGGUGGUCCUGGAGAAGUGUUCAUGUUGCCAAAGAGCCUCGUUAAAAUCUCCACAAACUACCCACGGCAGGGCCGAGAUCCCCUUUAAUCUGAUCAAAUGUUCCCACAUAUACUGGCGACGUUCAACACGUGGUUCCCCAUAUACGAAGGUGGACCUCCAACUUUUCCCAGAGCCUUGAUCUACUAUACUGGCACCAAUGUAUCUUUUGCAAGAGUAAAGAAUUGUCACUUGGAGGGAUUCAUCCCAAAAGAGUGCAAGACCACCCCCCCUUCCAUCACAGUCCACACCACAAAAACCUCUCAACCCUAGCUUCCACUUCAUUCGUUCAACUUUCGCACUUGGCUGUCUUGUUUCCGCAAGAAAGACCAAGCUUGGGGAAUGGGCUUUUACAAGAGCCCCAACUUCACGAACUGUUCGACGGUUCCCCGACCCCCAAUAGUUCCAAAAUAGGUGACUCAUUGGGACUGGCGGCGCUCCGCCUGGGAGCCCGCCGAAAGAUUUUCAGAUGUUGAUUGUUCACCAGCUAUCUUAGCUCGUUUACCACCCGAGCUGUUGCUCGGAGACGUUGCCUCCCCCGUUUCUUUACCAUCCGUGAUCAGAAGCCGUCCUCCAGCAGGGAUAGAUAAGCCCUCUACCGGGGGAGACACUACCCCUUCCUCCAUGUUUAGCCGCUUGUGAGAUGUCUUGUCGAGAUCCAUUCUAUGGUUUGGGAUGGUUUAUGCGGACUAGACGUCGUGUCCUUCAGGUCCCCGUCACCCAGUCCUCCUUCCUUCCUUGCUGUUGGUUUGGGAAUUGAUAGAUCAGCAUUUGACUUUUUCCCACUACGGUUCCCCUCCCAAUCCUGACGAACACGGCCCGGAGGUUCUGCAUACAGAUAGUCACCGAAUUUCAGAUCUUUCUCUGCAAACACCCCAUUGCCGCACUCCUUAUGCUCAUGCCCAAUGAUUCCACAGACACUACAAAAUCUUGCAAGCUUCUCAUACCUCACCGCAUACACACUUGGUUCUUUCCUUUGACAAUGCUAACAAACCUAGUAAGGGGCCUCCUGAUAUCAUGUCUCACCGUGACCCUCACGUAAUCCCCACGAGAAUUACCAUUAAUCCUGGUUUCUAGCACUUCUCCAGCAGAUCGCAGGAGCUUCACGAUUAGCUCGUGCCUGCAAUAUCCAGCUGGCAACUUAUGGAUCUGGAGCCAGAUUGGUAUAUACAAUAUCGGCACCACUUCAGCUUUUGUGAAUCCAUCAUACUGAGUUAAUAAGACCGCCAUGUUACGGAACAGCCAUGGCCCUUGGUCCAUGAUACGAUCCCAAUCACCAAGGCAAUACACCUGAACCACAAAAAGGUUGGGGCCUAUUGGCCUGAACCGAACAGCCUAGGAGCAGUUCCACGCUGCGCGCAUCUCUUUGUAAAAGGCAGCUUGGCUGAAGGUCUUCGUGGUUUGAACCCUAGCUAGGGCUAUCCAACGAAUUUCGUUUAGCAGCUCCGGGGCUUCCUCUUCGACGACAACAUCCUCGAAUUCCUCCUCCUGCAGAUCUAACUUAUCAAAGAAAUCAUCCAAGUCAUCAUCUUUCCCUUGGGAUCCACGAUUUGUGGACGAGAAAGCGUCUGACGUCGACGCCAUGACGAACGGCCGAGAACCUGCACCACGCGCAACCCUAGACCCCGCCGGCCAGGACACGGAGGCGAAGGGAGGGGAGUUUUGGGUGGAAGGGUUCGGCGAUGAUCAAUCCGUGAGACGGCAAGAUCGAUGGUAAGGUGGACUUGCGGCGGGGAAUCGCCGCAAGGAUAUAAACCCUAGCCUAUGCUAGGGGAGAGUUGGCGCCGUCGAAAAAAAAAACUUAAUAGGUGAGAGCAGAGAGUACGAGAGGUUAAACAUUCCCGAAUUAUUCUCUUGAUUAAUACUGUUCAUUGCUAUUCAUUUAAGAUAAUUAAAUGUUCGCUGCGUGCCCCUAAAAAAAGUGUGUUGUGUUCGUAUAUCUUACCUACUAAUAAAGCAAAUAUUGCUUCUGUCGUACGUCAUUUAAAUUGCCCCUAAAGUUGACUAAAAUUAUCCACCAAUGCCACCUAUAAGUCAUAAAAAACGUUUCAAACAGGAAAAUCUCCGGACUGGGCCGGCCCAUGUAGGCACCUCCUAUAUUACGCUCUGGGCGUUAGAAAAAGAUGCAGCACACCUGUUUGGGCCGGCCCAUGCGUGGGUCCCUGUUUUUUUUUGGUUUAGUUCUUUUAUUUUGCUUUUCAGUUCCAUUUUGUUUUGUACUUUAAAUAAUUUAGAACUUCAAAUAAUUUUUCUAAAUUUUAAGAAACUGAUAAUUUCGAAAGAAAAUAUUCAAAAAAACAUAAUUUUUUUAAGAAUUCAAAAACAACUCAGGAGUUUUGAAAAAUGUUUGCAUAUACAAAAAAAUGUUUAAAUUUUGAGAAAAUGUCCAUAAAAUAUAUAAUUCAAUGAUUUUAAACAAAAGUCCGUGUAAAAAUCUUGAAAACAGUUUGUGCCUCUGUUUUUAGUCUCUUUUUUUUUAAUUUUUCCGUUCCAAUUUUUUAAUUUAAAUAAUUUAGAACUUUGAAUUUUUUUUGCAAUUUAUAAAACUGAGAAUUUUGAAAUAGAAGUUUGAAGAAAACAUAAAAUGUUUGUGAAUUCAAAAAAUGCUCGGAGUUUUUGUAAAAAUAUUUGCAUAUUCAGAAAAAUGUUCAUAAUUUUGAGAAAAAUCUUGGUGAAAACAAUAAAAGUUCAUGAUUUUCAAAAAAAAACUGUGUAUUAUUUUUUGAGUGCAAUUGAAAAAAAUGUUUGCUAAUUCAAAAAAGUUCAUGCAUUUCAAAAAAUGUCUUAAAAUUUAAAGACAUAACAUGAUCAGCAUCAUUGAAGAUUUAAUUGUUUUUCUCCCGUUGCAACGCGCGAGCUCUUUUGCUAGUUGAAAUAAAAGAGAUUGCUCAGUAGAAAAGAAAAAAAGCAUGUCGUGCGCAGCCGGUUAGCGCGAGUGAAUCUGGCGGUGCAGUCUCUGGUUCAAAUCCCCACUUUCCCAGGAAUUUAUCCUUCUCUUUAUUCUUUUCUCUAUUCACUGACAAGUGGACCCAGAUGGGGUGGGGAGUUAAUUUUUUUUUUUGCAUCGAAUGGGGGUGGGGAGUUGACCGGUCAACAUAGAGAAAAUACGAAGCUGUACGUUUAGAUGAUGACCGUAUAAUCAUCAAGAUGGAUAUAUAGUGAUCAUACUGACUAAGUUCUUGAGUACAUGAACCAAAGUGAAUCAGCGAGACAAGUAGAGUGACCACGUGUAAAUUUUACUCAAAGCUUAAAAUAGGAGAAACAUAAAGAGGCAUUUUGGCUCUCGGUGCACAUGCUCCUGCAUAAACAGUAAUAAAAAAUAGUAAAUAUUUAAAAAUAGUAAUAUUUUUUAUAGAUGUUUAUGUUAUUGUCGCAAGUAUGCUUCACAAUUUUCAUGGGAAACGGAGCAGUGCGAGAAAAAAAUUAAGGGUGAAUUUAGGUGUAACAUUUGGUGUUUGAUUUUCUUUUGCACCGACCAAAAUGUGCCUAACCUUUUUACCUAAAAAUUUAUAGAUAGCAUCUGGAUGGACUAUGAACAUAUAUAAUUUUUGUUCGGACUUUUUGACAUUUCAAAAAUCAUUUCCAUGCACAGAAACACGUGCAUCCAGGAGCCAAAUUGGAUUUCCGAGAAAUUAACCUGUUUAAUCCUUACCAUUUCACAAAGAUUUACCAUUCUAGAAUUUUUGCCGGGUGGCCGGUGACGUACUUGCCAAUCAAUCGAUCAGUGCCACUCGAGUGCCCGAUCACAAGCAUUGGCAAGAUUGGCAAGUAAUCACUUGUUAUCUUUUAUCACGAAUUAAUAGCAGAAUCUUCAGUUUCACGCACAAGAUGAUCUCCCCCUCAUCCCCAGCUUUCCAAUACGUAGAACCUACCCUUAAUUCCAUGCUUGAUGCAGAAGGUAAUUAAUUGCACAUAAUUACUGCAGCAAGCUGGUAAUUAAUAUUCGUCAAUAAUCAGCACUUCAUAUCAUAUCCUGGUUUGCCAAUUCGUCUCACCAUUAACUUCGGCAAAAUCCCCUAUUAUAUGUAUCCACGCAUAGCAAUUAGCAGCAGAAGCAGCAGCAGCCAAUCCUUGCAUUGGGAGUUGAGCUCCACAGUGAUAGGUCACAAUGCCUGCGACGACGACGGCGAUAUCUCGUGUCCUUCUGCUCGUCGGCGUCGUCCUGACGGCCCAGCUGUGCGGUUGCACGGCGUACGGCGGCGAUGGGUUUAGCGUGGAGUUCAUCCACCGCGACUCCGUCGGGUCGCCGUUCCACGACCCCUCGCUCACCGCGCACGACCGCGUGCUGAAGGCGCUCGGGCGCUCCUACGCCCGCGCCGACGCACCGUCGGCCCACGGCGUCGUGUCCGAGCUCACCUCCACGCCGUUCGAGUACCUGAUGGCCGUGAACGUGGGCACGCCGCCCACCCGUCUGCUCGCCAUCGCCGACACCGGCAGCGACCUCGUCUGGCUCAACUGCAGCAAGAAGGGAGCCCACGGUCCUGGCCCGGUGUUCGCCGGCGACACGCCCACUCCCCCGCCGCCGCCGCCGCGCGUCGUGUUCGACCCCUCCAAGUCCAAGACGUACCGCCUCGUGGGCUGCGACUCCGUUGCGUGCCGAGAGCUCCCGGACUCCUCCUGCGCCGCCGGCGACAAGUGCACCUACUACUACUACUACGGCGACGGCUCCGCGACGAGCGGCCUCCUCUCCACCGAGACCUUCACCUUCGCCGACAACGCCCGCGGCAAGCGGACGACGCGCGUGCCCAACGUCAACUUCGGCUGCGGCACGACCUUCGUCGGCUCCUUCAUCGGGGACGGCCUCGUCGGCCUCGGCAACAGCAACCUGUCCCUCGUCACGCAGCUCGGCGCGCACGCCUCGGUCGGCCGGAGGUUCUCCUACUGCCUCGUGCCCUACUCCAUCAACGCCUCCUCCGCUCUCAACUUCGGCGCCCGCGCCGCCGUGACGGAGCCGGGAGCGGCCACGACGCCGCUGGUCCCGUCCAGGGUGAAGACCUACUACACCAUCGACCUCGUGUCCGUCAAGGUCGGCCACGCGACCUACAAGGCGCCGCACCGGUCGUCCCCCGCCAUCGUCGACUCCGGCACAACGCUGACGUUCCUCGACAAGGCGCUGCUAGACCCACUGGUGAAGGAGCUGGCCGGGCGGAUCAAGCUCCCGAAGGCCGCGCCGCGGGCGGACCUCGGCCUGCCGCUGUGCUACAACGUGAGCGGGCUACGGGAGGGGCAGAUCGCGGCGAAGAUCCCUGACGUGAAGCUGGGGCUGGGCGGCGGCGCGGCGGUGACGCUCAAGGCGCUGAACACGUUCGUGGUGGUGCAGGAGGGGACCCUGUGCUUGGCGAUUGCGCCGGCGCCGGAGCGCUUGCGGACGUCCAUCAUCGGGAACAUCGCGCAGCAGAACAUGCACGUCGGUUACGACCUCGACAAGCGCACCGUCACCUUCGCCGCAGCCGACUGCGCGAGAUCCUACCCCGCCAACGCACACGCACCGGCCCAUGCCCACGCCCACGCACCCGCCCCCGCCCCGGCACCAGCCCCCUCCGGCUCCGUGUAGGCGUGUAGCCAUAAAUCUGUUCACCAUUACUCAAAUUUUAUGAAAUGAUCACCAAUACUAGCAGUCCGUAUUUUUACGAAGGGGGGAGAUUUAUUUGCUUGUGCCCGCGUGCGUCAACAUUGUGAAACAAAAAACAAAGGACGUGUGGCUAGCGGCGCUGGAGCAUUUUUUUUUUUACAAAGUACCGACCCAAACGCUUAUAUGCACGCGGAUACACGGGUCCUUAUAAAAGCACACACGUACAUCCUACCCAUAUAAGCAUUUUUGAAAAACUAAGACGGCAUACAUCUUGAAAUUUACGAAGUUCGUAGCCACCUCGUCAUCGAAGGAAACGUCUCCUUUCACUGAAUGUGCAUCGCCGAAAUUGCUGAAAUAAAUCCAGAAAUAAAUUAGAGCACCAGGAUUUGAACCCUGUUGGGUUGAGGAUACCACAGUCCCUUUAACCAUUCAAUCAUAGAUUGGUUCGCGUUGGAACGCCCGUUGGUAGGAUCAAGCGCACUUACAAUAUGAAAAGAGCACCCAACCUACGUGUCCUACACGGUCCAUUAAAAAAGAAAUCUUGUCCACACGUGCAUUUAUUUGGGAUCCAAAAAGUUUUAAAAAAUGUAACUUUUUAUUUAUGCGUCAAAAAUUCAGUUUCAUUUUCACACCUGGGUUUCUCAUGACGAGUUUGAUAGAUUUCGUCGAACUUUUUUUUGAGACAAUUUUGGGUACGAUGGAGGCAACUUUACUCCUAUAGGAAAACAACUUCAUUUUUUUGACUAGCAGGUCUAUGUAUUAGGUUGGUUUGUGUAAAAAUAAGAAAAUCACACAAAGCAUGAGGCACCUUUUAUGCUACAUAUAAGCAUCUUCAUUGCACCAUGUGUAUCAAUGUAUUUUGCUAACAUUAUCCCAAUUUGCGUAUCGUGUUUCCUCAGUUGCCUGCCGUGGAUGUUCAGUUGCCUAUCACUGAGGCCCAGUCACGUACAACCAUUGAUGCCCAGUUAUCUGCUAUUGGUAAUUCGUUAUCUAUCAUUGCUGCUCAGUUGUCUAACUUUACAAAUUAGUUACCUAGAAUAUUGUGAAGUUGCUUAUCACAAGACAACUCAUGUGUACUCUCAGUCUAACUUUGUUUCUAGACAAAAGCAACCACAUAUGAAAAAGUCUAAGUUCACUAUUGAUGGCGUUAAUGGAGACAAAACAAGGACAAUGACUUUGAGAUCGUUAUGCACUCGAGUAUCACACAAAACCGUUAGCAACUUUUGGGGUGUUUUUGGUGCAACUCCAGUGCAUUAAACAAAUAACUCAUGUGUUUUUUCAUUAUUAUAUCUGGAGAUUUUAAUAAAUUUUGUGAGCAACUCGUGCAAGUAUUAUGAACAACUUGUGUGUGUUUAUGGGCAACUGUCUGAUCAACACCCCUAUAGAACUUUCCAUCUGCCCCCACUUAUGCAACUAUUCAACACCCAUGACCUGGCUCGUCAACAUCCAUGCGUCGCUCAGUAGUAUUGCGGGAUAAUCCCCUAGAAAAGGAAAGCACAAGACAACCAUCCAUCCCCUUAAAGAGUAGUGAAACAUCAUAUCACAGAAAGAGUAAAAAAUGGCAUGACAAAAAACAUUGUUGAGGAAAUCGUUAACUGGUAGCUGCUCGGUUGGCUAGUGAGUAGGGGAUUAAUAGGCUAAUCGGCAAGUUAAUCAGCCAUUUAAUUAUAGUUAAUCGGCCGAUUUAUCAAUUAAUUGGCUACUCGGUGACCAAACGAGUAGGGAUUAAUCGGCAAGUUAACUGGUUAACCGGACGAAUUCUUGAACAGGGACAAAAAACACAUAGGGUUAUCCAACUUUUGUACUAUUUUUGCACCCAACUUCAUGCGAAAAAAUAUGAUCAACUUGCAUAGAUUUGUUGGCAAACCGUGUGAUAUGCCCCCUAUGGAACUUGUGAUCUCCCCCUAGCAACUCGAUGUAUCACUCUGUGCAACUUCUACUCAUCUUGUGUGUAUGCAACUAUACACAUUUGCAUAUAGCAAUUGUUCUUGCAAACUCUAAGCAAUCCCCCCCCCCAAAUCCACACAGCUGUUCUAGCAAGAUCCAAAAGAAACUAUUCAUAGCAAAAAAUUCAAGCAAUUACCCUAGCAAAUCCAAGCAAUUGUAUUACCACAAGAAAAUGCAAAAUUGUUUCUAGGAAAACCAAGCAAGUUCUACCAAACCACAAUGCAAAAUUGUUCUAGCAAAAUGGAGCAACUUUCCAACAAAACCAAGCAACUAUCCUAUCCAAUCCAAGCAACUACAUUACUAAAAAAAAACUAUGGUAAAAUUGUCCUAGCAAAACCAAGUAAUCUCCCCUAGCAUUACUACUCGGAUUGUCUAAUUUAGGCGGGAAAAAACGUACGGCCAACUUGAAUAGCCUUCGUGGACAACUAUGUGACCCUCCCCCCAUACAACUUAUCUAUUCUACCAAAAAUCCAAAACAACUCAAUUACCAAGAAAACAAAAAAUGAAGAAGUGUUCUAGCAAAAGAAUUGAAGUAAUUUUCCUAGCAAAAAAAUUGGACAGUUCUAGCAAAAAAAAUUGUUCAAAAUGAAUCCAAGCAACUGCCCCAACAAAUCGAGAGAAAUUAAAAAUGAUAAUUAGUAGCCUAACAAUGAAGCCCAGGUGCAUGUCAUCGCUAAUUAGUUGGCUACGAUACUAGGAGAAGUUGCCUAUAGGUGUAACCGAUGUUGCAUAUACUCUAAAACAUAGUGUUAGCAUACUUAAUAGUGUGAUAGACAACUUAUGUUAUUUUGAUGAACAUGAUAGUCAAGGCAGGCAACUUAUAAGGACUUCCUGUUGAUAGGCAAUCAUAGUAGGCAAACUAAUAAGAAGUUGUUUUCCUAUAGUACUAAAGUUGCCUCUUCAGCAUUCGAAGUUGCUCUAAAAAAAAUCAUUGAAACAUAUCCAUAUGGGAUCUAGUUUUAAAGAACUCACCGCGAGAAACCAACAGUGAAAACAAAUCUAAAUUCUGAUACUCGAACAAAAAGUUAUGGCUUUUCAAAUUUUAUAAAACUCAAAUAAAUACACGUCCUUUUCCUUUCUUAGCUGAUUUGUGCAACUUAGAAAACAUUCGAGUAGAUGAAGACUAGAUGUUUUCCUUUUUAUAGUGUAAUGAUGACACAAGAUGCUAAUUUAGGACAGUAAAACUGAACCUAAAGCGAGCCCUCUGAGUGUUUUGGUUUUUUGGCCGUCCAUUUUGACGAUCGGGCCGUUUCUAGCCGUCGGAUGUGAUGUAUACAGCCACCUCCAACACACUUUUUCAUCGUCGGCCCGACUGUCCUAAUGGGCCGCUGCUCCGGUGGCUGAAACCGUGUUAUCUGGUGAAAUGGGCCUAUUUUCUCAGCCCAUCCAGGGUCCAAAGCGGUCUAUUGCUGGUUCGUAAAUGAAAUUGUUCGUUCAGGGGGAUCCUGUCGAGGCGUUGAUUCGAUACCAGGCGAUGGGUUCAUCCCUUCCAUCCCAACCCCUCUAUUCUUCAAUUCCCACCCGCGACCUCUGGUCUCUCACUCCGCUAUACAAGUUGCGUUGCCUUCGUUCUCGGCCGGCCGGCCGGCUGCCGCCUCAUCUUCACGUAGCCACUGUCCUCUUCUUUACCCUUAAGAUUUCAACACAAAGGGGAUCCAAUCUCAGAUCGGUUGAGGCUCUACACCACUAAGGACCGAACCAAAAUUUUCCUUCGUGUCACGCCAUCGUUGGAUCCAACCUCCCUUGUGUACCAGCAGGGCGCCGGUAAUGGUGAGCUCCUCCUGGAUCCACAACCCUAAAUUUGGCAUUUUAUUUUGGAUCCACGAUAUGAGUUGCAAUGACCUCCUUCUGGCGGCUCAGAGGGGGGUGACAUGGACACGAUGAAAAGGAUGUGUUCAUCCUCAAUAUUUUCUUGUCCGAGAGACCGGUGGCCGGUGGCAUAGUUACCAACAUGGUGUUCCAACAUCGUACACGGUGAGAUUUCAGUAUCAUUUAUGUACCACGAUUUUUCCAUGGAUUCACUUUUGAGAUUAAAUCCAAAUUUCGCUCAAGGGGAUCUAGCGACACACGCCCAGAGAAGCGACCGGUCUACGUCGAUCCAGCCCCGAUGAAAGGUGGAUCGAGCCAAGGUGAGGCUCACACUUGUCGACCGAAGGCGCGUGAUCCAGAUUCAGUCGAUGCGCUUGAGGGCUCGUGGUGAAACGACUCCUCCAUCUUCGCCCAGUCGCCGUCCAUCUCCAACCUUCUCAGCUCGUUCCCGUGUCUUCACGUAGGUGAGAUCCUCGUUCCCCUUCUACUAUCCUACAUUUUCUGAUCUUGCUGUUAUACGUUGGCUAGACGUACAUGUUGCUCUCCUGGCCUUCCCUUGAUUUCUUCAGCCAAGUGAGCUCUUGUUGUGCCUGUCGUACGGUGUCCGUACAGAGCGAGCCAGUGCGAAAACGUGCCAUUAGGGCCUAGCAGUUUUUUAAACUUUUGGCACUUCAUAACGUGUUGCACCCUUCUGCUUGUGUUCAGAGUACUGACACAACUCCUACUGGAAACAUGACAGAUGGUGAACCCCAAUUUCAGAAGAACUAUCGAAAGAAAGUGUUGAUCAUAAAAAUGUGAUCUACUAUAGUAGUAAUGUUAUUUUCUUAUAGUGGGUGAUAUGAUUUCCCCCCUUAUGAACCUAUUGUAGUUGUAAUUUCAGGCCCCCCUUAUGAACCUACUGUAGUUGUAAUUUCAGGCCCUCCUUAUGAACCUACUGUAAUUGUAAUUUCAGGAGAAUGCAUGUAUAAGUUAUAUCAUAAUAUACUCUUUAUACUGCAAUCUUCAGUUUAGUUCUCACGUGUGUGUUUUCUGCAGUUUUAGUGAAAGCUUGAUGAUGUUGCAUCUUCAAGUGCCGUUGAUUGCUAUGCAUCCGUUAAAUCAACUAAAAUUUCUAUUGAUUUUGUAGCUAAUGUCAUGGCAACUCUUUGCAUUGAUUUCAUAUAAUUAAGGUGCAGAUCCAUUUACCUUCUACAAUCAUUAUUAUGUUUUAGCAUCAUGAUUCGGUUUAUAAAAUGUUAGAAAAAUCUUGAUAGGUGGUUGGGUUAGAGGCCUUGGAACAUCCCGACUGCAGCGGUUGGAAAUCUAGAAUAACCCAACAAAUAAUUAUAUUUGAGUAUGUGAAAUGAAGCAGAAGUUAAGUGUUCCACUCAUAACAGAAAUGUUCAUUUAUGCUUAUGUAAAGAUAUUUUUAUUAUUCUACCAAAUUCCAGCGAAGGGCAUCCCAUUUAUGGUUUUUAUUAUAUCAGUUACUUGAUUUCCUAACUAACUGAAAUCCUUGUUAGCAUUCUUCUUCAUGAGUGUGAUGCACUUCACACAAGAAAUGUGUACCUGCACCAGGCCCGCCUAAUUCUUCUUUGUUGUGGAACAUGGCGGCCCUUUGGGUGGAGAGAUGAAUGAACAUUUCAUUAAUGCACAAUGUAUACAAUCUAUAGUGACAAUUCAUGUCUCAUGUCUCAUGUUUAUUUUUUGUGUGGCUUAUUAUGUGUCUUGCAACCUGGAUUGGUUUUAUUGACUGAAUACAUUGAUGUGUAUGUUGUCAGUCCAAGCAAUUUGUGUAUGUGAACCUUACUUUUUUUGUUGAAGUAUAUAUGAGAGUUCCAUUGAUUAUUGACUAAUAUAAAGUUAUGUUUGUACAAGUAUAAUAUAUUUCAUGUGCCCAUAAAUAUUUACAAAAAUUCCUAUCAUUUAUCAUAUUAAUAGACAGGCGCAGCAACGCGCGUCAUCAAUGAUCUAGUUACCCUUUAUGACUGGUCUGCUCGGGUACAACCCGUGCUAAGUGAGUUUUUUAGAAGUUGUUUUGUCGUGUGAUGCAUGUGCUUAGAAAACCUAAUUAGUGCAGUGAUAAGUCCCAAACGUAUCUAUAAUUUUUGCUUGUUCCAUGAUAUUUUGGAUGACAUUGUUAUAUGUUUUGCUAAACUUUCAUACCUUUUUACACAUAUUUGGACUAACCUACUAACUCAGUGCACCCAGUGCUAGUUUCUGUGUGCUGAUGUCUUUUUUUUGCAGGGACUUUUACCCCAAUUUACAGAGUCCCAAAAAUAUCGAGAAAAAUAUAUAAAAAUCAGCAUGACUGAAGCUUCCGGAGCACCAAAGGUGGGCUAUACGGGAGCCAAGGCCUACCCAGGCGGCCUCCCUACGCGGCCUGCCCCCUGGUCGCGCCCACAGGUCGUCUGGAUGGGUCCCACCUUCUCUGACGCCCUCCUUUGGCCUAUAUUUACCCCUCUAAUCGCAAACCCUUCCAUCAUAUCCAAAAUCGCAAAUUUCUCCAUUGUUCCGCAGCGCAUCGCUUCUGAGAUCGGGAGCGUGAGAAGACCUCUUCCCGACACCCUGCCGGAGGGAGGAUUGACCUCCGGGAGCUUCUCCACAGUCAUGGACGCUUCCCGGACGUGACGUGAGUAGUCCUCCUUGGACCAUGAGUCCAUGAUCAGUAGCAAUGUGAUGUCUUCUCUCCAAUCUUGUGCUUCAAUGAUUAGCCCCUGUGAGCUGCCCUACAUGAUCAAGGCAUCUAUGUAAUUUUCGUGCUAUUGCUAUGCUUGGUUUGCUGGGAUCCGAUGGAUUAUGAGAUUAUGCUCAGAUUGUGAUGAGUUAUAUAUUUGAUUAUCCUUUUAUAUUAUGUUCUUUAGUGAUUCAUGCAUGUUCUCCGUUGCUCUUUAUUGCUUUGGCCGAGUAGUAGAUUGUAACUCCAAGAGGGAGCGUUAUGCAUGAUUAUGGGUUCAUGCCCCAUGAUGUCUAGCUUGAGUGACAGAAACAUAAGACUAGGGGAUGUGCUGUUGCCACAAGGGAGAAAAUAACGGUGCUUGUGACCGCGGUUGCAAGUAUUGUUUACCUUACGCAAAGUUCGUUAAUCCAGUUGUCCGUUGCUUUGAGUUUACACUUUGGGUGGGGCUCGCAACUUAAUACGAGCGAGAUGUUGUGGAUAGAUAUCUCAAGGUGGAUGAUUAAUAAGUAGAUGAUGACGAAUAAACAGUCUACUUGUCUUGGCGUACUACCCAUUACUCUUGAGCCUCUAACUUUUUAGUAGCAUAAUUAACAUUGUGGUGCGUUUAUAACUCUGUCAAUUGCCCAGCUGUAAUUUGUUUACCCAUGCAUAGUUGGCUAUCGUAUUUUGGGUGAGAGACAUCACUAGUGAGCAUCAUGUGACACCGGUCCACAUUACCACCAUUGCUUACACCUCCACCAUUUACCGUUUUUAUUUACUUUUCAGUUGCAGUCACUAUUACUAUUCCCGCUUGUGUUUUGAUCCUUGGCAAACGACAAGGCCGGAGAGAUUGACAACCUCUUUCUACCCGUUGGGAGCAAAGUUAUUUUUUGUGUGUGCAGGUCCAUGUCUUCUGCUAGCGCUAGAGCAGCGGGCACCUGCUUGUUGAUCCUCGGAGUCCUCCUGGUUCGAUAAACCUUACAGUCCCCAUGUAAGGGAAAUCUGCUACUGACUACAUCUCCACCUUUCACUUGGGGUAACCAAUGAGGGGCGAGAAGUAUAUCCAUCAACUCGUCAUCAAGCAAAUUUCCGUUGCCGGGGCCUCCAGUCUUCAAGAUAGGGGAGUUGCACACUAUCUUUUACCUUUGCUUUUAGUCUUGUUAGUUUUCUUUCUAGUCUUUGCUUUAGAGUCUUAUACCCAAAAACCACCAAAAGAUAGUUGCUUUGUUCUUGCUUGUUGCUGGUGCUAUGGGUUUAACUGAGAACACCUAGUUGUGUGACUUCACUAGUCACAACAACAAUGACUUUAUCUGCACUCCUAUUGCUGCUCCCGCCACUGAGGCGACCUCCUAUGAGAUUAAACCUACUUUACUGAACCUUGUUAUGAAAGAUCAAUUCUCCGAUGCUGGAGAUGAUGUUGCUUUGCACUUGAAUAAUUUUGUUGAGCUUUGUGAUAUGCAAAAGUAUAAAGAAGUAGAUGGUGAUAUUGUUAAACUUAAGCUUUUUUUCCUUUCUCCUUGAGAGGAGGAGCUAAAGUGUGGCUUCAAUAUUUGCCUAGGAAUAGCAUAGAUUCUUGGGAUAAGUGCAAAGAUGCUUUUAUUGGGAAGUUUUACCCGCCUGCUAAGAUUAUCCAGUUAAGAAGUAACAUUAUGAAUUUUAGGCAACUGGAUAAUGAACACGUUGCCCCAAGCUUGGGAAUGUAUGAAAUAUCUCGUUAAGAAUUGCCCUACACAUGGUUUGACUACUUGGAUGGUUAUCCAAAGUUUCUAUGCAGGAUUUAACUUUACCUCCCGGAAUCUGUUAGACUCGGCCGCAGGAGGAACCUUUAUGUCAACUACACUUGGUGCUGCCAGGAAGCUAUUGGCUGAGAUGAUGACAAAUUAUUCUCAAUGGCACACCGAGAGAGCUCUAACAGGUAGGAAGGUAAACUCUGUUGAGGAGAUCUCCUCCCUUAAUGAUAAAGUUGACAUGAUCAUCUCUUUACUUACUAAGAAAGCUCCUAUUGACCCUCAUGAUGUUCCUUUAAAUUCUUUGGUUGCUCAAGAAAUAGAGCAAGUUGGUGUUAAUUUUAUCUCUAGGAACAACUUUAAUAAUAAUGCUUAUGGGAGUAAUUUUGGUAGCAAUCCUAGACCGUUUCCAUCCAACUAUGGGAACAAGAACACUUAUCCUAGCACCAAAAACUCCACUUCUGAACUAGAGAGCAUGCUUAAAGACUUUAUCACUUCUCAAAAAGUCUUCAACAAGAGUGUAGAAGAGAAAUUAGAAAAAUUAUAUAGUCUCUUUUUGAAGGUAGACAACAUAGCUCAUGAUGUAGAGAUGCUUAAAAUUAGAACUUCACCACUUGAGGAAAGGAAAACCACACCCAUGAAUGAUAUCCAAGUCCAGAUUAAUGAGAACAUAAGAAUGCUAGCCAAAAUUAAAAAUAGAUGGGCUAGAGAAAAAGAAGAGGAAGAUAGGAUUAAGAGCCUUCCUACACACACUACCCUUGCUACUAUACAAGUUGUUGAGGAUCUCAAAACUAUUAGCACCCAUCACAUCCCUAAUCCCAAUGGACCUAUUAAUGGUGAUGCUAAUACCUCAACUUUAGGACAAGAAGGUCCUUUGAACUUAGAGACUACCACAAAAAUGAGCUUAGAUGACAUUACCACCACUUUAAUUAAUGGUAGUAAUCUUGAUUUUGAUAAUUGUAGUAUUUCCGAAGUUAUCACUUUUUUUUGCAAAGAAUGGCUAAAGACCCCCACACUAGUACACUCAAUAUUGCCUUCACCGAGCAUAUUACCAAUGCUCUUAUCAAAGCUAUGGAGGAGAAGAUCAGGCUAGAGACUUCUAUUCCUAGAAAACUAGAAGAUGGUUGGGAUCCUAUGGUCAAAAUCAAAUUGAAUAAUAUCUCUUGCUUUGCUUUAUGUGAUGUUGGAGCUAGUGCCUCCGUUAUGCCCAAAAGAAUGUAUGAUAUGCUUGAUUUGAAACCUUAUGAUCAAUGUUCUUUUGGUGUUCGUCUUGUUGAUUCUUCCAUAAAGAAACCUUUAGGGAGAAUUGAUGAUGUGCUUAUUGUUGUCAAUGAUAAUUAUGUUCCGUUGAUUUUCUUAUUAUGGACAUUGAGUGUGAUCCCUCAUGUCCAAUUAUUUUGGGACGUCCUUUUCUCCGCACCGUUGGUGCUAUCAUUGACAUAAAAGAAGGGACCAUUAAAUUCCAACUUCCCGUUAAAAAGGGAAUGGAACACUUCCCUCGAAAGAAGAUUAAGUUAUCUUAUGAGUUCGUUACUCGGGCAAGUUAUUCUUAUGGAGUUGAUAAUACUUGAUCUUUUUGCAUCAUGCCUAGCUCAAAGGCAUAAAAGAAAGCGCUUUUUGGGAGUCAACCCAAUUUGUUUUACUUUCAGUUUUAGUGGUCUUGAUACUUGUUACUACUGUAGCAACAUCAUUGUAUCUUUAUUUUCAAGCUUAGCCUCCGACUGCAAGAAAGUUCAAAACUUGUGACAUGCUGUUCAGAAACAAAAUCCGUCUGCCUGACGGAAAAAUUCGCCAAAAAUCACCAGAUCAUCUUUUUGAUCUGAAUGUUUUUGACAGCAUGAUCUAUAUAAUUGUAUUUGUGGCGUCUGUUCUGAGUUUUUUGAUUUGAGUUGCAGAAGUGCCCCGAAAUGAAACAAUUAUUUACUACGUGUUGUUCUGUUUUUCACAGAUUCUGCCACGUUUUGCGUUUUCAUCAUUUUGCAAAUCUUAAGCUUGCUUUUCCUUUGCAAAAACCUUUUGGAAAUCUUGAGAAACAGUAGCUCUUCAUGAAAAUCUUUAUUUCCAGUAGAGAAUAAAUUAUUUUAUCAUGGACACUAACCACUCUAAUCAGCUUAUGAUGAGUUUCGUAUGAAGGGAGUUUUCAAGUAUGCGAUGGAAGAUGAUGAAAGAAGAUCUAGGAGUGUCAAGCGCUCAAGAUUGGGGAUUCCCCCAUGCACCCCCAAGAAAUAUUCAAGGAGACUCAAGCAUCUAAGCUUGGGGAUGCCCCCGUGCGUCGCCUUCUCCAUCAACAAUCAUCAGUUCGUCCAUCUCCAUGCUAUAUUUUUAUCACUUCAUAUGUUAUGUGCUAUGCUAGGAGCGUCCCGCUCUUUACUUUUUAGUUUGUUUUAGUUUUCCUUGCUGUUCAUAACAAGUUGAAACCUAGCCUUCUUUGUUUGGAACAGAAACACGCUUCACUCCACCCUAGAACACAACAUAGGUUUUCAUGCUUAUCUUUUUGUGUGUUCUUUAUCUUUUCAUAGAUGUUGUCAUGCUUUGCUCUUAUUUUUCAUGUUUUAUCUUUUUAAGAGAUUUUAUUUAGGUUGGUUUCGGAACUCUCUUGAGUUAUCAUGCUUAUCUUGUUUAGAGAGUUGGCUUGUUGCACUGAGUUGUGUUCUUGCAUGAGUAGGUAACCGAGGUUGCUAUUUAAGUAUAAUAGUAACUUCCAAUAGUUUUGAGGUAUUGAUUUGAGUAAUGUUUGGACUAUUGGUGCCAAGAGCUUGACCCUAUUAGUGAUAGGUGUCGUAUUUUGGGAAAUCCUUGUGUUUUUCAAAACUAAAAAAAAUAGUUGAGAACUCUAGCUACUAGAUUGAUCGCUAACCUCUGGAGGGGUUGGAAUAUAUAGAGUACCCUCACGUUACCAUGGGUCGAGGAUGCGCAAGGAUAACCAAACCGCCAAACACUCCUCCUCGGGGUACUUGUCUCUUUGUGAAUCUCCUAACUAGAUAGAGAGUUACCGAUAAUAAGUGCAUGAGUUCUUCGGACUAAUGUGAGUAUUCGAUUGUUGGCACUUCCACCAUCCAUAUUUUGCUAGCCUCUUCGGUACCGUGCAUUGCCCUUUCUCAUCUUGAGAGUUGGUGCAAACUUCGCCGGUGCAUCCAAACCCUUGGCAUGAUACGCUCUGUCAUCAUAAGCCUCAUUAUAUCCUUCCUCAAAACAGCCACCAUACCUACCUAUUAAGGCAUUUCCAUAGCCUUUCCGAGAUACAUUGCCAUGCAACAUCCACCAUCUCAUGACUUGAUCUUCAUGACAUACAUGCUUUUCCUUGACCGAGGAGCCGCAUGCUAGUUGGGCCUUGCCCUUAUUAUCGCUACAUGACGCGCUAGUUUCAUUGCAUAUCCUGCUACACUGGCACAGGCAUACAUUUGCAUACAUCAUGAUAGUUUUCAUGUGUCUUUAUGUUGAGUACUUCUUAUAAAGUGUGAAGAUCUUCUUUUAUUCUUGUAAAACAUAGAGUGUUGCCCUUAAGUGAGGAAAAAAUCCCAAAGAGGACAAAUUAAAAGAUCCCAAAGAGGACAAAUUAAAAGAUCCCAAAGAGGACAAAUGAGAGAUAAAUAGAAAGAGCCAAAGAGGCCACAAAAAAAAGAAGAAAAAAAGAAAUAAAAGAGAGAAGUGGGCAACACUACUAAUCCUUUUGAAAGAUCCACACUCGUACUCCAUUGUUAUAUUUGUACUCCAUAGAGAUUACCAUUCAUGCAUAACUAUGUGGGGACCCUUACACUAUAGAACUUGGCUUGUAUAUUCCAAUGACGAGCCUCCUCAAAUGAGCUCUAGGUCUUCAUGAGCAAGCAAGUUGGAUGCACCCCCACUAGUUUCAUUGGAGAGCUUACCUUAGCUCAUAUGUGCAUCCCCUGCAUGGCAAUCCCUAGUCCUCACAUCAUAUCUAUCAUUUGGCUUACUCUCGCCUAUGGUUGUCCUCAUUGAUGUGAGCCUUUCACACUUCUUAUGUCUUCCUUCCCCAUCAUUAUUCUCUUUGCCAUCCUAAGUGCCAACAUAUCUUGAUUGCGCUCAUCCAUUGCAUGAGUGCUCAAAGUCGAAAGGGAAAUGAUUAUUUCGACUUGUGCCUUACUAGUGGUCUGGGGAUGAGUCAAAAUAAGAUUCCGAAGGAGACCAAGUGUGAAGUUUUAGUAGGUUGAGUUCUCAAUUAAAAUAUUUUUUAUGCUCUAAACCCAUCUCCCAUUUCUUGCACGCAAACACCAUUUGGAGACAUUUGAGUCACGGACAACGAGAGCUCUUGCACCUUUAUGUUCUUACUUUGCUAUUUUCAAUACUAGAUAUAGACUCUUGCUUGUUAUUGUCUUGACAUGAAUUGCAUAUCUCACUUGCUUUACUUUGAAGUUCUUAUAUGUGUGUUAGCAUGUCACCACAGAAAUUAUUUGUGUUAUCAUUUACCUACUUGAGGACGAGCAGGAAUUAAGCUUGGGGAUGUUGAUACGUCCCAAACGUAUCUAUAAUUUCUGCUUGUUCCAUGAUCUUUUGGGUGACAUUGUUAUAUGUUUUGCUACACUUUCAUACCUUUUUACACAUAUUUGGACUAACCUACUAACUCAGUGCAUCCAGUGCUAGUUUCUGUUUGCUGAUGUCUUUUUUUUCCAGGGACUUUUACCCCAAUUUACAGAGUCCCAAAAAUCCCGAGAAAAAUAUAUAAAAAUCAGCGUGACGGAAGCUUCCGGAGCACCAAAGGUGGGCCAGAGGGGAGCCAGGGCCUGCCCAGGCGGCCUCCCUGCGCGCCCUGCCCCCUGGCCGCGCCCACAGGCCGCCGCGGGUGGGGCCCAUCUUCUUUGACGCCCUCCUUUGGCCUAUAUUUACCCCUCCGAUCGAAAACCCUUCCAUCAUAUUCAGAAUCAUGAAUUUCUCCAUCGUUCCACCACCGCAGCGCUUCGGAGACCGGGAGCGUCAGAAGACCUCUUCCCGGCACCCUGCCGGAGGGAGGAUUGACCUCCGGGAGCUUCUCCACCGCCAUGGACGCUUCUCGGACGUGCCGUGAGUAGUCCUCAUUGGACCAUGAGUCCAUGACCAGUAGCUAUGUGAUGUAUUCUCUCCAAUCUUGUGCUUCAAUGAUUAGCCCUUGUAAGCUGCCCUACAUGAUCAAGGCAUCUGUGUAAUUUUUGUGCUAUUGCUAUGCUUGGUUUGCUGGGAUCCAAGGGAUUAUGAGAUUAUGUUCAGAUUAUGAUGAGUUAUAUAUUUUAUUAUCCUUUUAUUAUGUUCUUUAGUGAUUCAUGCAUGUUCUCCGUUGCUCUUUAUUGCUUUGGUCGGGUAGUAGAAUAUAACUCCAAGAGGGAGCGUUAUGCAUGAUUGUGGGUUCAUGCCCCCUGAUGUCUAGCUUGAGUGACAAAAACAUGAGACUAGGGGAUGUGCUGUUGCCACCAGGAAGAAAACAACGGUGCUUGUGACCACGGUUGCAAGUAUUGUUUACCUUACGCAAAGUUUGUUAAUGCAGUUGUCCGUUGCUUUGAGUUUACACUUUGGGUGGGGCUCGCAACUUAAUACCAGCGAGAUGUUCUGGAUAGAUAUCUCAAGGUGGAUGAUUAGUAAGUAGAUGUUGAUGAAUAAAUGGUCUACUUAUCUUGGCGUGCUGCCCAUUACUUUUGAGCCUCUAACUUUCUAGUAGCAUAAUUAGCAUUGCGGUGCGUUUAUAAUUCUGUCAAUUGCCCAGCUGUAAUUUGUUUACCCAUGCAUAGUUGUUUAUCGUCUUUUGGGAGAGAGACAUCACUAGAGAACAUCAUGUGACUCCGGUCCAUAUUACCACCAUUGCUUACACCUCACCAUUUACCUUUUUAUUUACUUUUCAGUUGCAAUCACUAUUACUAUUCCCGCUUGGGUUUUGUUCCUUUGCAAACUACAAGGCCGGAGAUAUUGACAACCUCUCUGUACUCGUUGGGAGCAAAGUUAUUUGUUGUGUGUGCAGGUCCACGUCUUCUGCUACCGCCAGAGCAGCGGACACCUACUCGUUGAUCCUCGGAGUCCUCCUGGUUCGGUAAACCUUACAGUCCUCGUGUAAGGGAAAUCUGCUGCUGACUACAUCUUCACCUUCCACUUGGGGUAACCAACGAGGGCGAGAUGUAUAUCUAUCAACUCAUCAUCAUGCAGUUGCACUAAUAAGUAUUUGGGAAAAACAAAUAGUACAAAAAAUUGGUCAUCCAUACCCCCUCUAUUGGCAUCCACACUUCCUCCUAAAACAUGUAAAGAUGAAAGGUCCGACGAAGGGGAAAUUCAAUUUGGCUCCCGGGAGCACGUGCACCUGGACCCAAAAAUAAUUUUUGAAAUAUAAAAAAACAAGACAAAAAUUUGAUGUGUUGUUAGUCACAUCCAAAUUCCACCUGCAAUUUCUGAGCCAAAAAGGCUAAGCAUUUUGUCCUAUGAAAAAUUAAAAAAAUGAACACCUAAUGUUACCCCGGAAUGUCAUCCAAAUUUGUUUUUUAUUAACGAAACACGCUUGCACUGAUUUGCAUGAAAAUUGUCAAGCAUGUUUACGACACUAACACUAGAAUCCACAAAAAAUAGAUUUUUUUUAAAACAUUUGCUUUUUCGCGUUAUUGUUCAACCGCAGCAUGUUCUCCCAGGAGCUAAAACACCACUCCUCCGAUGAAGGCACUACAUAUGCACAAAGACGGCUAGCCUAUGGGCCCAGCCUCUAUACCGUGUUAAAAAAGAUGGCUACAAACUCUCUUCGUGGCUCUAGAGCACCAAUCUCAAGUGCACACGCUGCAAUGCUAAUAACGUGCAACCUUACUACCACAUUACCUCUUUAUGUAGUACCAGAAACAACAUCAUCUUCACAACUCGAAUACGAAAUCUUUUUGGGUAAUCUCUAAUUUGGGGUGUUUUGUAAGAAAAAUCCUAUUUUAACUUUUAACCUAUCCAUAGUAUUGGUUUGGGUCAUCUUUAAUUUGGGUUGUUUUGUAAGAAAGGAAUUCAGUUUAAGCUAUCCAUACAAGGGAACAUUGCCCUGGAUAAGAAUGAAGUUCCUACAUUAAUACCAUAUGGAGUACAUAUAAAUCAUUUUUUAUCUUAAAACAUAGUUACUACUACAUAACAAGAUCUAGUGUUGCCAUGGACAUGGAGCAGCUAGGUGUUGCUGAUUUUAGUGAAAGAAAAUCUUGUAAAGGAAAUGAAUUUUCAUGAAUGUGUCAUAUAUAACAACAUAAACCAUGAAUGUGCCCAUGAUUCAAUGUCCUAAUAAAGACAUAAUGCCUAGACAUUCUCUUUUAACUUUUUAUUUCAUUUUGGCUUAGAAAAUGUCACCAUUGUGGCCGGGAUGGCGUGGGACUAUUUCUAGGAAUGGACGUUGUAACAAUAUAAUAUUAUGCAUAACCAUGUUCAAUGUUAGUCUUAUAAAAUAGUGAUAGUCGGAUACAAAAAAAUUGCACAAGAUAUUCUGUAGCCAACACAACAGUUGAGCAGUCCGUGAGAACUUAGUUGAUACAGGAUGGGUGCCCCUAGUUCGAGCUUUAGCGGGAGCGAAUAUCACAAUGCUCACAAGUCAGAGAAAUAGGCUCGACUCAUAGUGCAACGCACGUAAAAUAGGAGUGUGCUGUUUCUUUUCCUUCUGAUAUUUGCAUUUUAGGAGUAAAUUUUGUUUUUUAAAUCAUGUUUGCAAAAUUACAUUGCAUACAAUAAUAUUAAAAAUAUUAAAACAACAAUAUUGUUGUGAUAUAUUGUUCAUAUCCGUUAAGAAAAGGUCGCCCUACUUCUAAACUUGCUUCGUAUAAAAAGGUGUGUCGUGAAUAAUACUUAUGAAGAAUGUCCAUACAUGACAACGAAAAUUCCGUGCAUAUCAAAUAUAAGUGUUGGGAAGACAUCAAGUAAAAUGUCAAAUAAAAUGUUCAUUAAUAUUUGUUUCAACCGACAACUAUCUUUUUUUCAUUUUUUAGAAUAUAUAUUUUACAAUAUGUUCAUUUAUUUCAAAUAUUAUGUUCAACAAGGUUCUAAUACUAUAUCAAUGCAUAAAAGUUUUUCACAUGGAAAAAAUGUUUAAAAAUAUUAUUUACAUUCCUUGAUUAUAUCCAUGUAUGACAAAUAAUAUGUUCACCCUUUUCAAUAAAAUGUUUAGAACACUUCUAUACAAAUCCAAAGAAAAUAAUCCAACAUCCAUGAUUGUAUUAUAAAUUGAAGAAAAACAUUUAAAAAAGCUCAUAUGAACCGUCCCAUUUCCCAUGAACAGAGACGACAAACUCCCUUGUGUGAUUUGUUUUCUUCAAGGUGAAAAUACUCUAUCAAGAAAACUAUUUGGCACAUUUUAUCACUUCCUAUACAAUUUGCAGUAUAACAUGAAAACCAACAAAACUAAAAUAAAUUAAAAAAAAACAAGGAAAGAAAAAAAAGAAAUAUCCAAAGUAAAAUAUAAAAUUAUGCAAGACUAAUAGAUCAGAGACACCAUGCGUAUAUAAAUCAUGCAAAGAAGAAGAAUUUAUUUUACACAGGUCCUUCACAUAGAAAACUUGAGCCACAUCAUUGUCCACGACGAAUGGUUCGUCUAUAUACCCAAGAUUGUUGAGAUCUACUAUUGUCAUUCCGUACUGCGGGUCUACCUUUACCCUGUCUCCUGUCAGAUUGACCCAUUUGCACCGAAACAAAGGGACCUUAAAAGAACUUCCAUAGUGAAGUUCACAUAUCUCCUCUAUGUAACCAUAAUAUAUGUUCUUUUUCUCAUUGUUGUACGUUGUACCAAAGCGGACACCACUGUUUUGGUUGGUGCCUUUUUAUCUUGGGCGAUCGUGUAAAAUGUAUUCUCAUUUAUCUCGUACCCUUGGUAAGUCAAUAUAGUCGAAGAUGGUGACUUGGCCAACACGUAUAACUCAUCGUCAACAAUGGUGUUAUUCAUGAGAUCUGUUUGCAACCAACUGCCGAAAGUCGCCAUGUGUGUACGUUUAAUCCAGGAGUCAGACUGCUCCGGGUUCUUGGAGCAUACAAUAUACAUGUGUUUCUCGAUAUAUGGAGCCACCAAGGUGAAAUUUUAUAGAACUGUGUAGUGUGCUUGAGUGAAAGAAUGCUCGUCCAUACAUUUUAUUGCUUUCUUUUCUAGUGUGCCUUUUCCACUCAAUCUCCCAUCAUGCCGCAAUUCACAAACACCAAUCACGUUAAGGUGAGGAAUAAAGUUAACACAAAACUCAAUAACCUCCUCUGUUCCAUAGCCCUUGGAGAUGCUUCCUUCUGGCCUAGCACCGUUAUGAACAUAUUUCUUGAAGACUCCCAUGAACCUCUCAAAGGGGGACAUAUUGUGUAGCAAUUCAGGACCCAGAAUGGUAAUCUCUUCGACUAGGUGAACUAGGACGUGCGAAAUAAUAUUAAAGAAGGAUGGUGGGAACACCAACUUGAAACUAACAAGACAUUGGACCAAAUCAUCUUGUAACCUUGGUAGGAUUUCCGGAUUGAUUACCUUCUAAGAAAUUGCAUUGAGGAUUGCACAUAGCUUCACAAUGGGUACUUGAACAUUUUUCGGUAGAAUCCCCCUCAAUGCAACCGGAAGUAAUUGCGUCAUAAUCACUAGGCGGUCAUGAGAGUUUAGGUUUUGAAAUUUUUUCUCUGCCAUAUUUAUUAUUCCCUUUAUAUUCGAUGAGAUUUAUCUGCCAUAUUUAUUAUUCCCUUUAUAUUCGAUGAGAAGCCGGACGGGACCUUCAUACUGCUCAAGCAUUCAAAAAAACAUUUUCUUCUCUUCUUUGAUAAGAGCGUAGCUGGCAAGACCUUCAUACUGCUUUGGAUGCAUGUCAUCUUAUUCAUUCAUACGUUGCUGGUCCUCCCAUGCCUGCUGUUAGGGCAUAUUUCUCUCUAAGUGGUUUUAGUGAUUGAUGACAAUGCAUGUGCGGACUAAUCGUGUGCAUUGAGCAUUUCAGAUAAUUCAUAUCGAGGCACAAGACGAUUCGAUGCCCCUCGGAAUCUCUCGAAGAUGGUUGCUUUCUACGUUUCUCUUUGGUGGAUUUGAGUCGUAGGAAAGCCGUACUAUUAAGAGGGGGCGCGUCAGAAAGGUUUGGGUGGAAUCAUCACAUACACAUUUAGUGCACCACCUUUCUCUUGCUACAAUGGAGCUCCAUCCCUAUAUUGGAUGCUUAUGCAAAAGGGCCAGCGGUAGUACGGUUGGUGUCAGCGGUAGUACCGCUGGCACAGGGUAGUACCGCUCUAAGAGCGGUAGUAAUUUUUUUACUACCGCUCCAUGAGCGGUACUACCGCCCUCAGGGCGAUAGUAGUUUUUUACUACCACUCAGACGGACUUUUUCGCAUACUUUCCCCCCCCCCCCAUAGUAGUAGGCGGUAGUAUUUUAUUACUACCUUGGUUGGUGAGAUGCAGAGCGGUAGUACCGUUUCUAGUAGCGGUAGUACCACUCCGAGAGCGGUAGUACCACUUGGGCUAUUGCUCUGGUGGGUGGGUAACGGUUGGAUUUUACCCCCCCACUAUAUAUAGGUGUCUUCUUCCUCUAGAAGCUCACCUAUUACAUCUCCAAGCUCCAUUGUUGCUCCAUAAGCUUAUUCUUGCCCGAUCUCUCUCCCUAGCCAAUAAAACUUGUUGAUUUUCUCGGGAUUGCUUGAGAGGGCCUUGAUCUACACUUCCACCAAGAGAUAUUUGAUUCCCCCACUAAUCCCUUGCGGAUCUUGUUACUCUUGGGUGUUUGAGCAUCCUAGACGGUUGAGGUCACCUUGGAGCCACAUUCCAUUGUGGUGAAGCUUCAUGGUCUUGUUGGGAGCCUCCAAGCUUUGUGUGGAGAUAGCCCCAACCUUGUUUGUAAAGGUCCGGUCGCCAUUGAUAACCCACAAGUAUAGGGGAUCGCAACAGUUUUCGGGGGUAGAGUAUUCAACCCAAAUUUAUUGAUUCGACACAAGGGUAAGCGAAAGAAUAUUCUCAAGUAUUAGCAGCUGAGUUUGUCAGUUUCAACCACACCUGAAAGAUUAGUGUCUGCAAGCAAAGUAUCAGUAGCAAAGUAGUAUGAUAGCAACGGUGCGAGAAAAGAUCUGUUGACGGCAGACUAUUCCUAACUUGUUGUAUCAAUGGCGCCUAGAAAAUAGCACGUUUGACGGGGACUAUUCCUGAGAAUAAUGCUUCCCCGACAACGGCUCCAGAAAAGUCUUGCAACACGUAACAGCAAAGUAGCAAGUAACAGCAGUAGUGACAACAACAGCAAGUAACAGCAGUAGUGACAGGAGUAGCAAGGAAUAGUAGUAACCAGUAGCAGCAGAGUAACAGCAGUAGCAACAGUAGUAGCGACAAAGUAACAUAGCAAGGACCAGUAGUAAAAGACUCAUAGGCAGUGGGUCGAUGAUGGAUGAGUAUGACUGAUGUGAUUCAUCAUGUAACAGCUAUAACAUGGAGAGAUAUGUAACUAGCUCCUGUUUGUCAAUCUAAUGCAAGCAUAUAUUCCGUAUGUAGUCAUACGUGCUUAGGGAAAAGAACUUGCAUGCCAUCUAUUGUCCAUCCCUCCCGUGGCAGCAGGGUCGUAAUGGAAACUACGGGAUAUUAAGGUUCUCCUUUUAAUAAAGAACCGAACCAACGCAUUAACACUUGGUGAAUACAUGAACUCCUCAUACUAUGGUCAUCUCUGGGAGUUGUUCCGACUAUUGUCACUCCGGGGUUGCCGGGUCAUAACACGUAGUAGGUGACUACAACUUGCAAGAUAGGAUCUAAAACAUACAUAUAUUGGCGACAACAUAAUAGGUUCACAUCUGAAAUCAUGGCACUCGGGCCCUAGUGACAAGCAUUAAGCAUGGCAAAGUAGUAGCAACACCAAUCUCAGAACAUAGUGGAUACUAGGGAUCAAUCCCCAUCAAAAAUAACUCGAUUACAUGAUAGAUCUCAUCCAACUCAUCACCGUCCAGCAAGCCUACGAUGAGAUUACUCACGAACGGUGAAGAGCAUCAUGGAAUUGGCGAUGGAGGAAGGUUGAUGAUGACGAUGGCGACGAUUUCCCCUCUCCGGAGCCUAGAACGGACUCCAGAUAUGCCCUCCAGAUGAAGAACAGGAGGUGGCGACGCCUCCGUAUCGUAAAACGCGAUAAAUCCUUCUCUCUGAAUUUUUUUCCGGGCGAGACGGAAUAAAUAGAGCUGAGUUUGGAGGCGGUGGCGCCACGUGGGCCCCACAAACCCUCACGGCGCGGCCAGGGGGGGUGGCCGCGGCCCAUGGGCAUGUGGCCCACUGGCACACCUCCUCCGGUGGAUCUUUGCGCAGAUAUUUUUCAUUAAUUCCAGAAAAAUUCUCCGUAAAUUUUCAGGACAUUCCGAGAACAUUUAUUUCUGCACAAAACAACACCAUGGCAAUUCUGCUGAAAACAGCGUCAGUCCGGGUUAGUUCCAUUCAAAUCAUGAAAAUUAGAGUCCAAAACAAGGGCAAAAGAGUUCGGAAAAGUAGAUACGACGGAGACGUAUCAAGUCCCCCAAGCUUAAAGCCUUGCUUGUUAAUGUGAGCUAUGCUAAUGCACAAAAGUCCUUCCUUUGGCGCCAGAAACAGGUGUGUCGACGACACCAGGAAUCCUUCAGCUGCGGCUACGCCUUAAGGGACUUCCUAGGCAAGUAUGCAAAGGAUUUCCCCCGUGGCCUUGGAGCCUUGCGUUGGUGUUCCCUUGAAGCGGAAAGGGUGAUGUAGCACACAUCAACGGUAAGUAUUUCCCUCAGUUUGAGAACCAAGGUAUCAAUCCGAUGGAGGAGUAUCUCAAGAUCCUGCACAAACUCAAAAGCUUGCUCCUAACGCUAUGAAGGGGUUGUCAAUCCCUUAUAGAUUGUUUGCCAAGUGAGAACUGAAAGCAACAAAGUAACAAAUCAAACUAAAAGUGGAGGUGUAAACGAUGGAUGUGAAUAGACCCGGGAGCGUAGUGUUUACUAGUGGCUUCUCUCAUAAAAGCGAGUAGACGGUGGGUGAACAAAUUACUGUCGAGCAAUUGAUAGAACCGCGCAAAGUCGUGACGAUAUCUAUGCAAUGAUUAUAUCUAUAGGUAUCACGUCCAAAACAAGUAGACCGAUACUUUCUGCAUCUACUACUAUUACUCCACACAUCGACCGCUAUCCAGCAUGCAUCUAGUAUAUUAAGUCCAUAAGAACAGAGUAACGCCUUAAGCAAGAUGACAUGAUGUAGAGGGAUAAUCUCAAACCAAUGAUAAAAACCCCAUCUUUUUACCCUUGAUGGCAACUACUUNNNNNNNNNNNNNNNNNNNNNNNNNNNNNNNNNNNNNNNNNNNNNNNNNNNNNNNNNNNNNNNNNNNNNNNNNNNNNNNNNNNNNNNNNNNNNNNNNNNNNNNNNNNNNNNNNNNNNNNNNNNNNNNNNNNNNNNNNNNNNNNNNNNNNNNNNNNNNNNNNNNNNNNNNNNNNNNNNNNNNNNNNNNNNNNNNNNNNNGAACCCAAAACCAAGCACUUCUCCCAUUGCAAGAAUCAUAGAUCUAGUUGGCCAAACAAAACCCAAGACUCGGAGAGACUUACAAGGAUAUCAAAUCAUGCAUAUAAGAAAUCAGCAAAGACUCAAAUAUAUAUCAUAGAUAAUCUGAUCACAAAUCCACAAUUCAUCGGAUCUCGACAAACACACCACCAAAGAAGAUUACAUUGGAUAGAUCUCCAUGAAGAUCAUGGAGAACUUUGUAUUGAAGAUCCAAGAGAGAGAAGAAGCCAUCUAGAUACUAACUACGGACCCGUAGGUCUGAAGUGAACUACUCACGAGUCAUUGGAGGGGCGAUGAUGAUGAUGAAGAAGCCCUCCAACUCCAAAGUCCCCUCCGGCAGGGCGCUGGGAAGGGUCUCCAGAUGAGAUCUUGCGGAAAUGGAAGCUUGCGGCGGCGGAAAAGUUUUUUCGAGGCUCCCCUGAUUUUUUUGCGGAAUAUUUGGGAAUAUAUAAGCCAAGGAUCCAGGUCAGGGGGCAGCCAGGGAGGCCACAAGCCUGCCCACCGCCGCCUCCCCCUGGUGGCGGAGUGGGGGCUUGUGGGCUCCCUCGAGCCCACCUGGCUUGGCCCAAAGGCCCCCUGAUCUUCUUCCGUUCAGGAAAAAAAUCAUUUCGGGGUUUUUCUUCCGUUUGGACUCCGUUCCGAAAUCAGAUCUGAAAAGAGUCAAAAACACGAAAAAAACAGGAACUGGCACUUGGCACUGAAUUAAUAAGUUAGUCCCAAAAAAUAUAUAAAAGGUACAUAAAACAUCCAAAGAAGACAAGAUAACAACAUGAAACCAUCAAAAAUUAUAGAUACGUUUGAGACGUAUCACUUGUCCUCAAGCAAUUUAGUUGACAAACUGAAAGAGACAAAAUAAAAACUUUCACGAACUCUGUUUGAUCUUGUUGUUGAAACUAUGUCUAACUCAUAACCAGAAUUUCAGCAAGAUCACAAGCAAACCACAUAAGCAAAUGACAUCUAGGUCUCACGGUAAACUCAUAUCAAUGACAUAAUCAACUAGCGAGCAAAUAAUAAUAAGCCUCAAAUGUCAACACUUCAAUCAAAACAACAUGAAGCAGUACGAAUAGAUGGUAUCUUGCUAGCUCUUUUUGAGACCGCAAAACAUAAAUGCAGAGCACCUUCAAAGACCAAGGGCUGACUAAACAUUGUAAUUCAUGGUAAAGAAGAUCCAGUCACAGUCAUACUCAACACAGUUAAAAGCAAAGCAUAAAAAUGACAAAGGUGCUCUCUAAUUGGUGCUUUUGUAAGAGGAGGAUGACUCAACAGGGACAUAAAUAGACAGGCCCUUCGCGGAGGGGAGCAUUGAUUUGCAGAGGUGCCAGAGCUCAAGCUUUGAAAACAGAGAUAAUAAUUUUGGGUGGCAUGCUUUCAUUGUCAACGCAGUGACUAAGAGUUCUCAACAUCUUCCACGCUACACAUGCUAUAGGCGGUUCCCAAACAGAAAAGUAAAGUUUUGACUCCCCCACCACCAAUCAAUCACACUCCACGGCUAGCCAAAUCCUCGGGUACCGUCCAUACCAACAUCAAUCCUGGGGGAGUUUUGUUUGCAAUUAUAUUUUCGAUUUGAGCAUGGAACUGGGAAUUCCAAUUACCGGCCCCUUUCUCGUGAAUGAUAGUGAAUAAACACAUAUCAAGGAUAACACGCCUAGCAUGGAAGAUACUAAUAGCCCCCUGUCACCACAUGAGCGGUUCGGGCAUGCAAAACAGAUUAUUUCUUGAAGGUUUACAGAGUGGCACAUGCAAAUUUACUUGGAACGGCAGGUAGAUACCGCACAUAGGUACGUAUGGUGGACUCAUAUGGAACAACUUUGGAUUUAUGGAAGUGGAUGCACAAGCAGUAUUCCCGCUUAGUACAAGUGAAGGCUAGCAAAAGAAUGGGAAGCGACCAACUAGAGAGCGACAACAGUCAUCAAAAUGCAUUGAGAUUAACUAACAUUGAGUGCAAGCAUGAGUAGUACAUAAAUCACCAUGAACAUGAAUAUCAUAGAGGCUAUGUUGAUUUUGUUUCAACUACAUGCGUGAACAUGCGCCAAGUCAAGCCACUUGAAACAUUCAAAGGAGGAUACCAUCCUAUCAUACGACAUCAUAGUCAUCUCAACAUUCAUGUUGACAACCAAGACAAACCAUUGUAAGCUCCUAGCUAAGUAAGCAUGGCAUAAGCAACUAUGAUCUCUAAGUUGUCAUUGCAAACAUGUUUCUCUCACAGCAAAGAUGAAUCACGCAUGAUGAGCUAGUCAUAUUUACAAAAACAAAAUAGAUCGAGUUCAUACCAGCUUUUCCAGGCUCAGUCACUUCAUCAUAUAUCGUCAUUAUUGCCUUUCACUUGCACGACCGAAUGAUUGUGAACAAUAAUAAGAGUGCUCGUGCAUUGGACUAAAGCUGGAAUCUGCAGGCAAACACAAAGGAGAAGACAAAGUAAUAUGGCUCUUUGAAAGCUAAACAAGUAUGCAUGCAAGAGCCACUAAACAUUGUAACCAUUAUCUUCUACCUUGACCCAAAGAAAAAGAAAACUAUCUACACGGGAAAGCUCCCAACAAGCAAAAGAAGAAAAAGAAAAUCUUUUUGGGUUUUCUCAAACUAGACAAACACACGAAAACAAAACGAGAAAAAGAAAAUAAACUAGCAUGGAUGAUACAGUGGCAAAGUGUGAACACCGGCUAACAAAGUGAAAGCAUAAGCAAGAAUAUAAAGUCGGUGAGAACACGUACUCCCCCAAGCUUAGGCUUUUGGCCUAAGUUGGUCUACUCCCAAGGAUGGUCCUGGCGAAACCCAGAAUCAUAAUGGGGGUUAUACGGGAGCGCUGCAGCCACUGCCUGAAUAGCUGCCUCACGGAGACGAGCAACCUUUGACUCCCUCUCAUACUCCUCUGCCUCUCCUCUGGUUAUGUAAUAUCUUCGUUUUACCUCAAAGUCAAAGAAGGCAGGAGCAGGAAGGGUAAUAUGGAAAACACGUUGUCGGUUAAAUAUCAAACGGUAUAGGAGGGAUUCAUCAUCCCUCUCAAGGAGCUGGUAGCGUGUCAAAGCGACGCGGUCAAGGAAAGUUGUAUGGAGUGGGGGAUCUCCUUCGCGGAUGGGUACUCCAAGAAAAUUUGCUAUGCGAGUGGCAUAGAUCCCACCAAAGAAAUCCCCUUCAUCAGCAUUCUUAUUCAGCCUCCUUGCUAUUAUAGCUCCCCUGUUGAAGCUUUUGUCACCCGUCACUGCGCUCUUAAGGAUACUAAGGUCGGGUGCGCAGAGGUGACAAUGCUCAAUCUUGCCAUUAAUGCAUCUGCCUAUGAAGAGGGCAAAGUAAUGCAAGGAAGGAAAAUGAAUACUCCCCAUGGUAGCUUGUGUAAUGUCUCUAGUUUCUCCAACAGUAAUACCAGAGCAAAAAUCUCUAACCGAAGAUUUAGGAGGAUCAUUGAGGCUACCCCAAAUAGGUAUUUUGCAAAUUCUAUUAAAAUCCUCUAAAUCCAUGGUAUACGAUUUAUCAUAGAGAUCAAACAGUACCGAUGUAUCACGGGCAGCUGAAAAUUUGAACCUACGAACAAAAGAGGCAGUGAGAGCAUCAUACUGUUCACAUUUAUCGGAGAUGAAUUCUUCGAGUCCAACGUUGUGAACAAGUGCAUCAAACUCAUCUUUGAAACCUGCCUCAAUCAUAAAUUCAUGAGAAGGUCAUUCACAUGGUUAUACCUGCGCGUCCCAUGGUUGGUAAGGAUCAGGCUCCCGAAUCGCAAGACGGGGACCUCUCUUGCUUGAGGAACCACCAUGAAAGUUUCUCCUGGACAUCUUCCUUUUCUGAAAUUUUCAGUGACCCAAAGGAAAAGUGAACAAGGCUCAACUAAACUAGUAGCAACUACUCCCACAAGUUCCUAGAGGCCAUAUUACGCAUCAAAACUACUUGGGACCAGCUAAAAUCAGCAUGCAAAGCUCAAGAACAUGGUCACCCAGGUAGCAAAUAUACGCGGAGUAUAAGGCACUUGAGCAAAAACUAAUUGGACCAAUGGAGGAGUCACUUACCAAGGAGUAAUUUCCCCAAAACAGUUCGGAGAAUGGUGUUUUAAGAAAAGAGAUCGAAAAUCCCAGCAAGAGGAGCAAGAACACGGGUUUGAGCUGCGAAAUGAUUUUUUCUGGAGGUAGGAGAACCAGAUGAGAGCAAGAAUGAGUGGAGGGGAUGCAUGUGGGCCCCACAAGCCUGGGUGGCGUGGCCAGGGGGGUGCCCGCGCCGUCAGGGCUUGUGGCCCACUGGUAGAGCCCCCAGACAAGCUCUUUGUCUCAGAAUUUUUCAAAAAAUCCAAAAAAAUCAUACUUGAUUUUCAGGACGUUCGGAGAACUUUUAUUUUCGGGGUACUUUUCUACCGGACGCUAAAACAGAAAACAGGGAAAAUAAACUAAAUCUAUCAUUUUUCUUCUAAGGAACCUAAAGUGAAAGCUUGGAACAGAGGUUUGUGACUCUUUGAUUCAUCCAUCUCAUGGUCAUCGAAAGAAAUCCGUCAAUGAGGUUGAUCAAAUCCCCUCGACAAAACUUUUCGAAUCGCAAAAGAGAACGGAGAAUUUUCGAACAGUCACUAGGUCACCUCAAUGGGGAUGUGUAUCUCCCCCACAAGCAAAUCAUACUUCAUCUUGACACGAGGAAAAGGGCAUUCAAAGCUCCCAAUAAGAAUCGAUGAAGUUUUUUCGAUAGCAUUGAUGCAAUGUACUCGAUAUUGUUUCUUCAGAAAGUGCACCGUAUGCUCAUUACCGUUGACAUGGAAAGUGACAUUGCCUUUGUUGCAAUCUAUAACAGCCCCUGCAGUGUUUUAAAAGGGUGUUCCAAGGAUGACAGCCAUGGCAUCGUCCUCGGGAAUAACCAAGAUAACAAAGUGUGUUAAGAUAGUGAUGUUAGCAACCACAACAGGCACAUCCUCGCAAUUGCCGAUAGGGAAAGCAGUUGAUUUGUCGGCCAUUUGUAGAGAGAUUUUAGUGGGUGUCAACUUAUCCAGUUCAAGCCUACGAUAAAGAGAGAGAGGCAUAACGCUAACACCGGCUCCAAGGUCGCACAAAGCAGUUCUAACGUAGUUGCCUUUAAUGGAGCAAGGUAUAGUGGGCACACCGGGAUCACCUAGUUUCUUGGGAGUUCCACCCUUGAAGGUAUAAUUAGCAAGCAUGGUGGAAAUCUCAACCUCAGGUAUCCUCCUCUUAUUAGUCACAAUAUCUUUCAUGUACUUAGCAUACGGAGACAUUUUGAGCAUAUCUGUCAAACGCAUUUGCAGAAAGACAGGUCUGAUCAUUUCAACGAAGCGCUCAAAAUCCUCAUCAUCCUUUUUCUUGGAUGGUUUGGGAGGAAAGGGCAUGGGUUUCUGAACCCAUGGUUCCCUCUCUUUACCGUGCUUCCUAGCAGCGAAGUCAUUCUUAUCGUAUCUUCUAUUCUUAGGCUGUGGGUUAUCAAGAUCAACACUAGGUUCAAUCUCCACAUCCUUAUCAUUGCUAGGUUGAGCAUCAUCAUGAACAUCACUAUUGAUAUUAUCAUUAGGCUCAUGUUCAUCACCAGAUUGUGUUUCAGCAUUAGAGACAGAGACAUCGUUUGGACUCUCAGGUGUAGCACCAACACGGUUGCUAACAUGGAGGUUCCUAUCAUCUUUCUUCUUCUUUCUAGGAUGACUAGGUGCAUCAGUGCUAACUCCUUGAGAAUCUUGUUCAAUUCUCUUCGGAUGACCCUCAGGAUACAAAGGUUCCUGGGUCAUUCUACCGCCUCUAGUGACGACUCUGACGGAAUUGUCAUUCAACUCAUUGAGCAAGUCAUUCUGAGCUUUAAGUACUUGUUCUACCUGAGUAGUAACCAUAGAGGCAUGUUUGCUCAAAAGCUUAAGAUCAUUGACAUUUCUGUCUACACAAGCACUUAAAUGACUAAGCAUACAAGCAUUCUGUUCCAAUUGUCUGCUAAUAUAAUCAUUGGAACUCUGUUGUUUGGCAACAAAGUUAUCAAAUUCAUCCAUGCAUAAGCUAGCAGGUUUAUCGAAAGGAAUAUCACUCUCAUCAAACCUACACAGAGAAUUUACUUCUACUACCUUUAUCGGGUUAUCGAGACCAUGGAUCUCUUCGAUAGGUGGUAGAUUUUUGACAUCUUCAGAUUUAAUGCCUUUCUCUCGCAUAGAUUUCUUGGCUUCUUGCAUAUCUUCGGGACUGAGGAAUAGAAUACCUCUUUUCUUCGGAGUUGGCUUAGGAGGUGGUUCGGGAAUAGUCCAAGCAUUCUCAUUGCACAAGAUGUUAUUCAAUAGAAUCUCAGCUUGUUCUACAGUUCGUUCCCUAAAAACACUACCGGCACAACUAUCUAGGUGGUCUUUGGAAGCAUCGGUAAGUCCAUUAUAGAAGAUAUCAAGUAUUUCAUUCUUCUCAAGAGGGUGAUCAGGCAAAGCAUUCAAUAGUUGGAUGAGCCUCCCCCAAGCUUGUGGGAGACUCUCUUCUUCAGCUUGAGCAAAGUUGUAUAUUUCCUGCAAGGCAGCUUGCUUCUUAUGGGCAGGGAAAUAUUUUUCAGAGAAGUAGUAGACCAUAUCCUGGGGACUACGCACACAACCAGGAGCAAGAGAAGUGAACCAAGUUUUAGCAUCAUCCUUUAGCGAGAAAGGAAACAGCUUGAGGAUAUAGUAGUGGCGGAUCUUUUCCUCACUAGUGAAUAGGGUGGCUAUAUCGUGCAGUUUGGUAAGAUGGGCUACAACCGUUUCAGGCUCAUAACCGUGAAAAGGAUCAGAUUCGACCAGAGUGAUUAACUCAGGGUCGACAGAAAAUUCAUAAUCCUUAUCGGUCACAAAGAUAGGCGAAGUGGCAAACUUCGGGUCGUAUUUCAUCCUAGCGUUCAGAGAUUUUUCUUUCCACUUGCGCAGUAAAUUCUCAACAUCAUAGCUAUCCUUACACGCAAGAAAAUCCUCAGCUAUCUCUCCCUCCAUAACAUAGCGUGUAUCAGGCAUAACAGGCAAUUCAGGCAUAUUAGGAGAGCUAGUUCUAGCAUGCAAAAUAGCAGGUUCUACUUCAAUAGUAUGAGCAGUUUCAGAAGUAUCAUCACAUCUAGCAGCAACUCUAGCAAUUUGUGCAUCAAGGAAUGCACCUAGUGGCAAAACAAUAUCAAGCAUAGCAUCAUCAGGCAUAGUAUCAAGCAUAGCAUCAUCAGGCAUAGUAUCAAGCAUAGCAUCAUCAAGCACAAUAUCAAGCAUAGCAUCAUCAGGCAUAGUAUCAAGCAUAGCAUCAUCAUAAGCAUCAUGGGCAGCAGAAGUAGCAUCAUCAAGCACACGCGACGUAUCAAGAUUUCUAGCAAGAGGUGAUGUCGCAAACUUACUCAUAACUGAAGGUGAAUCAAGUGCAGAGCUAGAUGGCAGUUCCUUACCUGUCCUCGUAGUGGAAGGCAAGACUUUAGUUCUUGGAUCUAUCGGAUUCCUCAUAGUGAUCAGCAGACGUAAAUCCCAAGUGACUCAAAGAAUAUAGUUGUGCCUCCUCGGCAACGGCGCCAGAAAAUAGUCUUGAUAACCCACAAGUGUAGGGGAUCGCAACAGUUUUUGAGGGUAGAGUAUUCAACCCAAAUUUAUUGAUUCGACACAAGGGGAAGCGAAAGAAUAUUCUCAAGUGUUAGCAGCUGAGUUUGUCAGUUUCAACCACACCUGAAAGAUUAGUGUCUGCAAGCAAAGUAUCAGUAGCAAAGUAGUAUGAUAGCAACGGUGCCAGAAAAGAUCUGUUGACGGCAGACUAUUCCUAACUUGUUGUAUCAAUGGCACCUAGAAAAUAGCACGUUUGACGGGGGACUAUUCUUGAGAAUAAUGCUUCCCCGACAACGGCUCCAGAAAAGUCUUGCAACAGGUAACAACAAAGUAGCAAGUAACAACAGUAGUGACAACAGCAGCAAGUAACAGCAAUAGUGACAGGAGUAGCAAGGAACAAUAGUAACCAGUAGCAGCAAAGUAACAACAGUAGCAACAGUAGUAGCGACAAAGUAACAUAGCAAGGACCAGUAGUAAAAGACUCGUAGGCAAUGGAUCGGUGAUGGAUGAGUAUGACGGAUGUGAUUCAUCAUGUAACAACUAUAACACGGAGAGAUAUGUAACUAGCUCCCUGUCACGCCCAAGAUGCGACCCUAUCCUCAAUUUGGCACGAAGGCCUCGUCGGGGAUAGAAGCGCAUCUCGUCGUGUCGCAAGAAUGGAUAUCAUUGCAAGUACAUGUACUGAAAAGAAGAGAUAUAUAAAGAGUUGGCUUACACUCGCCACAAGCUACGUCAGAGUCACAUCAGUACAUUACAUAAUCAUCAAGAGUAAGAGCAGAGUCCGACUACAGACGAAAACAAACGACAAAAGAAGAACGACGUCCAUCCUUGCUAUCCCAGGCUGCCGACCUGGAACCCAUCCUAGAUCGAUGAAGAAGAAGAAGAAGAAGCAAUUCCAAAUGAACAAUCAACGCGCUCGCGUUAAGUAACCUUUACCUGUACCUGCAACUGGUGUUGUAGUAAACUGUGAGCCACAGGGGACUCAGCAAUCUCAUUUCCAAAGGUAUCAAGACUAGCAAAGCUUAAUGGGUGAGGCAUGGUUAAGUGGUGAGGUUGCAACAGCGGCUAAGCAUAUGUUUAUGGUGGCUAACUUACGGGUACAAGAAGUAAGAGAGGGAAGAUCUACGCAUAACGGACGUGAACUACUGUUGAUCAAAUAAAUGAUCCUGAACACCUACCUACGUCAGACAUAACCCCACCGUGUCCUCGAUCGGAGAAAGAACUCACGAAAGAGACAGUCACGGUUACGCACACAGUUGGCAUAUUUUUAAUUAAGUUAAUUUCAAGUUAUCUAGAACCAGUGUUAAACAAAGCUUCCACGUUGCCACAUAACCGCGGGCACGGCUUUCCGAAAGAUUUAACCCUGCAGGGGUGCUCCAACUAGUCCAUCACAAAUUACCACAAGCCGCAUAGAAAUCCUCAAUCACGAAGCUCGCGAUCUCGUCGGAUUCCCUAGUGGAAAACCUCAACUCUGAGAUUACCCAAAGCAUCACCGGAAUCCCGAUGCACAAGAUAUUCCGUCAAAGGUAAAACUAAUCCAGCAAGGCCGCCCGGCGUGUCGACGAUCCCGAUAGGAGCCGCGUAUCUCGUUCUCAGGACACGACGGAUAAGCACACCGUACGGUGGCCUGAUAGAAAUCUCCCGAGUUGCCCCGGGUUGGCCCCGCAAACGGCUCUAGUUUUUGGACCAGCACCAACAGCACUGUCCCCCCUGUAUUAUGUGAAAUUACUCCUCGGGUUCAUGACGCCCUAUGCAUUUCAAUAUUAACAAAAUUAUUAUGUUGAGUGAUACGUCCAUUUUGCANNNNNNNNNNNNNNNNNNNNNNNNNNNNNNNNNNNNNNNNNNNNNNNNNNNNNNNNNNNNNNNNNNNNNNNNNNNNNNNNNNNNNNNNNNNNNNNNNNNNNNNNNNNNNNNNNNNNNNNNNNNNNNNNNNNNNNNNNNNNNNNNNNNNNNNNNNNNNNNNNNNNNNNNNNNNNNNNNNNNNNNNNNNNNNNNNNNNNNNNNNNNNNNNNNNNNNNNNNNNNNNNNNNNNNNNNNNNNNNNNNNNNNNNNNNNNNNNNNNNNNNNNNNNNNNNNNNNNNNNNNNNNNNNNNNNNNNNNNNNNNNNNNNNNNNNNNNNNNNNNNNNNNNNNNNNNNNNNNNNNNNNNNNNNNNNNNNNNNNNNNNNNNNNNNNNNNNNNNNNNNNNNNNNNNNNNNNNNNNNNNNNNNNNNNNNNNNNNNNNNNNNNNNNNNNNNNNNNNNNNNNAUCAGUGGUUUGCUAGGUCGAACAGGUUGAAGGUUAUCAUGGCAUUGUUGAGAGGCUGAUAUUUAACAAGUGGUAGGCAACGAGACAUAAUCGAUAGAAACGGUAAAACUAGCAUGGCAAUGAUAGUAAUNNNNNNNNNNNNNNNNNNNNNNNNNNNNNNNNNNNNNNNNNNNNNNNNNNNNNNNNNNNNNNNNNNNNNNNNNNNNNNNNNNNNNNNNNNNNNNNNNNNNNNNNNNNNNNNNNNNNNNNNNNNNNNNNNNNNNNNNNNNNNNNNNNNNNNNNNNNNNNNNNNNNNNNNNNNNNNNNNNNNNNNNNNNNNNNNNNNNNNNNNNNNNNNNNNNNNNNNNNNNNNNNNNNNNNNNNNNNNNNNNNNNNNNNNNNNNNNNNNNNNNNNNNNNNNNNNAACCGGAAACAAGCAUCAACACAGAUAUUCACCACACGAUGCACAACAUGAUUCAAAACCUACCAUGAUGCAUGAUCAGAUCAUCGAUGCACGGGAUGGCAUGGCAAUUCACCUCACGCAAACACUACACUUUAAGUGAAGCUCGAUAUGCAACGGGCUGCAUAUCGACGAAACUCCACAUUUAAUUAUUUAAUUCACUCUCGAUUAUUUACACAGCAAAAUUAAUGUUGUUUAACAUGGCAAGGGUGAAGCGACGAACCUACACGANNNNNNNNNNNNNNNNNNNNNNNNNNNNNNNNNNNNNNNNNNNNNNNNNNNNNNNNNNNNNNNNNNNNNNNNNNNNNNNNNNNNNNNNNNNNNNNNNNNNNNNNNNNNNNNNNNNNNNNNNNNNNNNNCUACACGACAUCCUAGUCGGGUACCACGCGGAACAUAGAUCGGAGCUACGGCACAAGAGACAUGCAACACAAAAUUAUAUGCCAUGAAUGCGUCGUGCAUGCAAGACAUCACACCACGGCAAGAAGGGAAAGAAGCAAGGUGUCGCCACGGCGAGCGAGAGGGAACCAUGGCGGCAAAUCGGAAACGAUGACACGGCAACGUUCCUAUCCCGAUAACUCAACGGGGUAUCGGUGACAGCGAAUAGGGAGCGCGUGCGGGUACGUUAAAUAAAGGUGGGGUGAUCCCGAUUACCGGGUUCCCAUGUGUCGAGGGCACGACGAAAAGGAAGACAACGUGCACGGGCAAACAACGGUGCAUACAUACGGAGCAUACAUGCAUUCAACUCAAACAACUCAUACAUUCGUACAUCACUAGCACACGGUACACGACAUGACCCAUCGGUAUACCUUCGAUCGGUGAAGGGGUACAAGAUCGUCGUGGUCGUCGUGGAAGUAGUCGUACACGCGCCGGUAGUUGAAGUAGUGGUACACGGUCCCGUCGACGGUAGUCGUUCGCUCGGCAUCGUGGUUCUCAGGUCUUCGGCGUCGGUAGUCGAUCACGUCUCCGUCGAUGCUCGGGGUUCGUCGAGGUCGUCGUUGUACUCGCCGAUCUCGUCGACGACUCACGGUAGGCGGGGAUGGUCCGCGCGGCGACGCAAGCGGCAGCAACAUGGCUAGCGUAAGCGGACAAACCGCAAGCCACUAGCUACCUAGACUAGCACCUAACAGCAAAAGCAUCAACUAGCAAAGCAGCAGCAUCUACGGCAACUAGCAACAGCAUCGGGCAGCAGCAAGAGCAACAGGCAACGACAAGCUAACACAACUAAUAGCAUGCAGGCAAGCAAUCGGCAGCAACAGGGACAGCACUCGGCAGGCAGCAUCCUCAGGCAUGCUACAGCCGCGUGCAUAGCGACAACAUUGGCAACUAUAGCAGCAACUCGGCGGUGGCUACGGCGACAGCCACAGCAGGCAGCUACGAGCAAAGGCAACAGCAACAGCAUGCAAUAGCAGCAAAACAGCACAUGGCAAGGCAGCAACGCCAGCAGGCAACAGCAACCUCGGCAGGAGGAGGCCGGGCAGGGCACUGGAGGCGCGCACGGGGACGGCGAGGAACAGUAGCGCGGCGCCUCGGAACAGAGCAGCCGGUGGGGAACGGCUCGGGAGGCCAGGGGCGAACGCCAUGGCGGCGAGCUCGGGAACUUGGCGGCGGCGGCGCAGAGACUCGGGAAGGCGACUGCGGGGCGCGGGCACGGCGGCCAGAGAGACCAUGGCGAGCGGGGCCGGCAGGGCGCGGCGACCGGCGCGGGCGGCGCGGCGACGGCGACCACGGCGAGGCGACGGCAGGGCCGACGAGGGGAGCACGACCGCGCUGGGACGAGGACCUCCGGCGGGCGACCUCGGGCGGAGGGGCCGGCGACCGCGCGGGCGCAGGGGAUGGCCAAGGCGGCGUUUCCGGCGAGCUCGAGGGAGGAGCACGGGGCGGCUCGAGGGGAAGGAGGCGGCCAUGGCGACGGGGAGGCGCUACCCGGGAGGAGGGCGCGCGGCCGCGGGCAUGGCGCGGCUGGAGCCGGCGAGCGGGAUCGAGAGAGAGGGAUCGGGCAGGGGAGAGGAGGCGCACGGGGAAGAAGGGAUCGGGCGAGGAGGAGGAGGCGCACGGGGGAAGUUGGGCCUUGGGCCGGCUUCCCUCCCCCUAGUUGGUUUUUUUUUAUAAUCCUAUUUUUUUCAAACAGAAAUUUUAAAAUAAGGAAAGGCUUUUAACAAAAAAAAAUGUUUCACUCCUUUGAAAAUUAUACCCCAACUUAAAAUAGCUUGGGCAUUUUUUAAACAAAUAAAAUGAAACCCUUUUAAGAAUUAAAAUAAAACCCUUUUUAAAGAAUUUAAAAAAAUUCAAAACCCUUUUUAAAGAAUUAAAAUAAAACUCUUUAUUUAAAGAAUAAAUAAAGCCUUUUAAAAGAGAAAAUAAAAUGGGAGGGUUUUAAAAUAAAACAAACGGAGAGUCAAAAUAAAACCUAAGAGUUGCCCCUACAUUUAAUAAAAUGACUUUUAUUGAAAAGAAGAAGACGCACCCUUUUAAAUAGGGGUUUUAAACGAAGACUUUGGCAAAACCACAAAAACGAAAUGAGAGAGGAGAAAAGGGGAGAAGGUUUAGGUCGGCGGUGCAACGGGGUUUAGCGGUGGCUCUCACGCUCUCUCUCUCAUCACUCCAACAAAACAACGUCACUCACGAAGCACUAACGCCUAACAACACGGAGCAACAAGCAACACCGACAAAACACCGAUGACAUGAUGCCAUGCAUGAUGCGAACUAAAUGAUGAUGCAACCAACAAAAUAAAAUAGCCGCACGACGGAAACGGAAAUAAAGGGGAAUCUUCUGGGCGUCGGCAUCGGGCUGUCACACUCCCGUCCGUCAAUCUAAUGUAGGCAUGUAUUCCGUAUGUAGUCAUACGUGCUUAGGGAAAAGAACUUGCAUGACAUCUAUUGUCCAUCCCUCCCGUGGCAGCGGCGUCCUAAUGGAAACUACGGGAUAUUAAGGUUCUCCUUUUAAUAAAGAACCGGACCAACGCAUUAACACUUGGUGAAUACAUGAACUCGUCAUACUAUGGUCAUCUCCGGGAGUGGUUCCGGCUAUUGUCACUCCGGGGUUGCCGGGUCAUAACACAUAGUAUGUGACUACAACUUGCAAGAUAGGAUCUAAAACACACAUAUAUUGGCGACAACAUAAUAGGUUCAGAUCUGAAAUCAUGGCACUCGGGCCCUAGUGACAAGCAUUAAGCAUGGCAAAGUAGUAGCAACAUCAAGCUCAGAACAUAGUGGAUACUAGGGAUCAAUCCCCGUCAAAACUAACUCGAUUACAUGAUAGAUCUCAUCCAACUCAUCACUGUCCAGCAAGCCUACGAUGAGAUUACUCACGAACGGUGAAGAGCAUCAUGGAAUUGGCGAUGGAGGAAGGUUGAUGAUGACGAUGGCGACGAUUUCCCCUCUCCCGAGCCCAGAACGGACUCCAGAUCUGCCCUCCAGAUGAAGAACAGGAGGUGGCGGCGCCUCCCUAUCGUAAAACGCGAUGAAUCCUUCUCUCUUAUUUUUUUCCGGGCGAGACGGAAUAAAUAGAGCUGAGUUUGGAGGCGGUGGCGCCACGUGGGCUCCACAAGCCCUCACGGCACGCCUAGGGGGGUGGCCGCGGCCCAUGGGCUUGUGGCCCACUGGCACACCUCCUCCGGUGGAUCUUUGCGCAGGUAUUUUUCAUUAAUUUCAGAAAAAUUCUCCGUAAAUUUUCAGGACAUUCCGAGAACUUUUAUUUCUGCACAAAAACAACACCAUGGCAAUUCUGUUGAAAACAGCGUUAGUCCGGGUUAGUUCCAUUCAAAUCAUGCAAAUUAGAGUCCAAAACAAGGGCAAAAGAGUUCGGAAAAGUAGAUACGACGGAGACGUAUCAGCCGCCUUCAAGGGCACCAAUAGUGGAAUCACGGCAUCUCGCAUUGUGUGAGGGCGUGAGGAGAAUACGGUGGCCCUAGUGGCUUCUUGGGGAGCAUUGUGCCUCCACAUCGCUCCAACGGAGACGCACUUCCUGUCAAAGGGAAGGAACUUCGGUCACACAUCCUCGUCUCCACUGGUUCCACUUGCGGUUAUCUCUUACCUUUACUUUGUACUUGUUAUUGUUGUGGUGUAUUCUUUGCUUGCACUUGUUAUCCUUGUAGUUAGCAUCAUAUAGGUUGCUCACCUAGUUGUUCACAUAGAGAACCUUUUGUUGCUAACGCUAAUUUGUUAAGACAAGCUAGAAAUUUAUAGUUGCCUAUUCACCCCCCUCUAGUCAACCAUAUCGAUCCUUUCACCUCUGAUGUAUCUUUUGUCUUCACAGACACACCCAAGAAACCUAGCAAAUUCACACAAAGAUUCUUCGUCAGGUGCAUCACGUCGAUUGCAUUGUGGACCUCUAGGACUUUCCAAUAGGGUAGCCCCAAAAUAUAGAUUUCUUCUUCCACAUAGGUGUGUGUCCCUUAGCGUUAUUCUAAAUAGAUUGUCCUUCAGGACCCUUUUCAGAGAUUACUUUUAAAUGCUUGAUCAUAUCAAAUAUGGCUGCAUUUGGAUCUUAGGCAAGCUCAGCUCCUAGCCUUGUCGGGCAAGGAUAUUCAUUUGGUUAGGGAAAUAAAGCUAGCCUCUGGUGGCAAUUUAGCCUUUAACCGCCACAAAAAGCUUGCGGACGAAGGCGAGCCAAUUUGGCUCUCCCGCACUGGCAAAAAAUACGAACGUGGGCUCUUUGGCAGUUAACGCUUUAAUUUUACAUCUUUCCAAACAUCAAGCCUUGCUUUUGACGACUCUAGCCGGAACCGGCUAGAUUAACCUGGCCUAGCUAAGCUAGCUGAGUUAGGAAACCAGACGCACCCUAUAUAAUCACCGGUACGGUGGCUAGGUUUCUUCCGAUGAUCUGCCUCACCUUUGAAAUGCUUGCCUUUCUUUCUUAAGAGAUGCCUGAUCGGAAGAAAUCAACGAUGUCCCCGGCACACAUUCUUCUUACAUUUAUCCAAAUAUAUACUUUCAGUCUCAUCUAAACAGUGCAUGCAUGCAUUGUAUCCCAUGUUUGUCUAUCCUGAAAGGUUACUAAGAGCAGGCCAAUCAUUGAUGGUUACAAACAACAACGCUUGUGGUCAAAUUCCUCCUGCUUGUGCUCAUCCCAAACACAUGGACCAUUUUUAUCCCACAACUGUUCUUCAACUAAUGUCCUUAGGUACACAUCAAUGUCGUUGCCGUGUUGCUUAGGGCCUUGGAUGGGCGCUCUCAUCAUAAUGAAUUUUCGCUUCAUGCACAACCAAGGAGGAGGAUUAUAUAUACAUAGAAUCACAGGUAGGUGCUAUGACUACACCUCUGCCCCCAAAAAGGAUUCAUGUCAUUUGUACUUAGAGAAAACAAUAAGUUCCUUGCGUCAACUGCAAAGUCUAGGAACUCUCUCUCAAUUUUUCUCCACUGCGACCCAUCAGCGGGUACUCUCAGCAUCGCGUCUUUCUUGCGGUAUUUCUUUGUGCCAUCACAACAACUUGGCAUGCUCUUUGCUUUGGAACAAACUUUUCAACUCUGUUAUUAUAGGAGCAUACUACAUCACCUUGGCAGGAACCCUCUUCCUGGGGCGCUCGCCCUUAACGUCACCAGGGUCAUCGUUGCUGAUCUUAUAGCGCAAUGCACCGCAUACCGAGCAUGCAUUCAAAUUCUCGUAGUCCUCGCCGCGGUAUAGGAUGCAGGCAUUAGGGCAUGCAUGUAUCUUCUGCACCUCUAAUCCUAGAGGGCGGACAACCUUCUUUGCUUCAUACGUACUAGCGGGCAAUUCAUUAUCCUUUGAAAGCAUCUUCUUUAUCAUAUUCAGCAACUUUUCAAAUCCCUUGCCAGAUACACCAUUCUCCACCUUCCAUUGCAGCAAUUCUAGUGUGGUAUCCAACUUUUUCUUGUCAUCUUCUCUAUUUGGGUACAACAAUUUUCUGUGAUCCUCUAACAUGUGCUCCAAUUUCAACCUCUCCUUUUCACUUUCGCAGUUUCUUUGUGCAUCAACAAUGGCCCGGCCAAGAUCAUCUGCAGGCUCAUCUGGUGCCUCUUGAUCUCAAGCUUCCCCCGUUGAAGUAUCAUCGUAUUCACGGAACAUAGGAUAGUUAUUAUCAUUAUCUUCUUCUUUAUUGUCUUCCAUCAAAACCCCUCUUUCUCUGUGUUUGGUCUAACAAUUAUAGCCGGACAUGAAACCGGACUAAAGCAGGUGGAUGUGAAUGAUUUUUUAGGUAGAGUAAUCCUUAUUAUUCUUGUAGACACCACAUAGAAAACACAUAAAACCAUUCCGCUUGUUUGCCCCAGCCUCACGUAUAUAAUUAUGUAGGCCAUUAAUUAACUCGGGAGAGCGUCGGUCAUCGUACAUCCAUUGUCGGCUCAUCUUUAUUGCACAACAUCGAAGUGACCAAAUUAAUACAAGUUUGUCACAUCAAAACCAAAGUAGAGUAGUGACCAAAUGUUAUUACUGCAAAAAUAUAUACAUAAAGUUCAUACAUAUACACUUCUCAUAAAACAACAUACAACAAUCUGAAGCAUUUAAAUGCAACAACAAAUGCGAUCAAAAUCGCAACUAAGGUAAUAAUUGAUCCAACAACAUAAACAAGCCUCUUUAUUAAUGGUAUAUUUUCUAAUCUUUCUAAUCUUCAAGCGCAUCGCAUCCAUCUUGAUCUUGUGAUCAUUCAUGACAUCGGCAACAUACCAUUAAUAAAGAGGCUUGUUCAAUUAAUAAAGAAAUCUUGUGAUCAUCCAUGACAUCGACCCUCUUGGAGCUCCAAUUUCAUCUUCUCUUCUUCACUUCAUUUCAAUUUUUCUUUCAAAUAACCGUUUUCUUUUUCAACUAAAUUUAACUUCUCGACAAGAGGGUCGAUUGCAAUUUUCGAUUCACAUACCUCCUAGAUAAAAAAAAUAUAUUAAAUUGAUAGGCAUAAUUGUCAUAAACACGAAAUAAAACAGAUAGUUAGAGAAGAUAAUAUACCACAUCCGAAUCAUAAACCGGACGAGUGCCGACGAGGACGGAUAUCAAAAUCAUGGCACUAUAUAUAUAUAUAACAAAAAACCAUACAAGUAAGAAAAUUAUACAAGUAACUAUCUAUAUCAUAUAAAUUAGAUUUUGUUUUACAAAAAGGAUAAGAACGAGAGGCUCACCAAGGUGAUGCCGGCGACGGGACGACGCAUGCGAUCGACGACGGUGAGGACGGAGGCGGAAAGGCACUAAGUAAACCACACUUACAUAUAUGCAAACUAAGAAGUUAAUUUGAUCUCAAAUUGCAUAUAAAAUCAAAUAAAACUCUCACAUAAUUACUCUCAAAUUAAAAUGUACAAAUCACUGUACUUAUAGAGCAUGAAACGAGCUAAACUAGUAAUGAGAGAUGAAAGAAUAAAGUUGCUAACCUUUUACAACACUUGGAUAGAUGUGAUGUCUUCAAUCUUGACAAAUCUUCGCAAAAAUGAAGGAUCAACUCGAGCCUGGGGAAGAAAACAGAGAGAACAGAAAGCUUGGACAUGGGAUGGAAGAAACAGAGCUUAGGGAAGACUUUAGUCCUGGUUAAAUAUACCAACCGGGGCUAAAGGUCUAUAUUUAAUCCCAGUUGGUGAAGGGCUCGCAAGGGCCCCAGCCUGCCGCAACCCUUUAGUCUCGGUUGGUAUCACCAACCCGGACUAGAGAUUCCCUUCAAACCAGGACUAAAGAUGGUCGUGCCCCUCCUCCGCUCCUAGCCGUUGGAACCGAGACUAAUGCUCACAUUAGUUCCGGACCCAAACCCGACCGGGACUAGAGCUCCGGACGAAAAGUCUAUUUUCUACUAGUGCCCAUCAUUGUGGUGUGUCUAGCGUUAUAAAAGGACGUGUGAAUGCGUCUCUCCGACACAUCUUGUGGGUUCUGGUCGGGUGUUGGUCUUUGUUGUAUCUCGAUGGAUCCAUCUAUAUGUUGCAUCCUUCUGAUUUCUGUUUCUCUUUAUCAGUGACAAUUGUUAUGGUGUCCUAGUCCCCUGGGGUUUUAGCAGGAUGAUUUUCGAAUUAGUUACUAUAAUAAAUUUUGUCCGCCUCUGAUGAGGGAGGGGCGACGGCUACGGCGACGCAUCUUCGGCUCGCUCAAGUGUUUGUAAUCGUCGCUGGGUGGUCCAUGAAUCUCGAUGUAAUUUCUCUUCUUCUAAUAUUUCNNNNNNNNNNNNNNNNNNNNNNNNNNNNNNNNNNNNNNNNNNNNNNNNNNNNNNNNNNNNNNNNNNNNNNNNNNNNNNNNNNNNNNNNNNNNNNNNNNNNNNNNNNNNNNNNNNNNNNNNNNNNNNNNNNNNNNNNNNNNNNNNNNNNNNNNNNNNNNNNNNNNNNNGAAAUAUUAGAAGAAGAGUACUCAUUCAUUACUGUAUUUCGGGUGUGGCACGAGAGCCCGUCAGGUGACUCUGCAUCUUGACUGGCCGUCCGGAGUGCGGGCACAUACUCAUACUGGCACGAGCACACUGCACUCGCACGCGGAGAGACAGAGCUGCUCGCGCCGUAGGUUUCCUUCCUGGGUAAGCUGGCUGAGAUACCGAUCGGAUCAAGGGAAGCCGCCCCGCCGAGCUCCAGAUGGCGACGGCGCCGCUCGGCGUGAGGCUCCUCGUCGGCGCCGAGGCGCGGCCCGCGCAUUCCCUCCAAGAUUCGGCCGAGGACGCCGCGGCCUUCCUCGCCUUGCCGGUCAGCCUGCUCGGGAAGGAGUGCCUGAUGGACAGCGCGGGCAACCUCUACGCCAGGGUCGAGGCCCUGCCCCGCGCGGCCGCGGCCGAGGGCGCGCUCCUCCGUGCACCGGCGGGCGCGGUCGUCGUCGGCUCCGCCAAGCGCCUGCUCGCCCUCGCCGGGGCAAUGAGAGAGGCGGAGGAGCGGCUGGCCGGCGGACCGGCCCCCACGGACCGCGCCGAGCCGAGCCUGGGGGCCAGCACGGCGGCCGACAUGGACAUCGACUCCGGCGGCGGCGCUGUCUCCACGAGCCGCCCGGGCGGGGAUCCGGGCGCCAAAAGGAGGCGCGGCGGCGACGACGACGCGCCGGGCGCAUUCCAGAGGCCGGCGAAGCGCCGGAUCCUCGCGUGGAGGGUCCGCCGCUACCGGUCCCUGGUGGCCAAGGCCAAGGCGACCGCGAGGAGGGCCAGGGCCCGGGCGACGCGGAGGAGGAGGACGGCCCCCUGGAGGAGCGUCCAGCAGCAACUCGCGCGCGCCACCCUGAGCUGCGACGGCCUGCACAGAUGGAGCCCCGGCGGCGGCGGCGGCGCUUAGCAAUAAGUAAGGUCCGACCUCAUGCCAAGGAAUGGGAUUAGCACUCCAGCAUUUUGUUUUGUCACUCUAUUAGUGUAGUGCCCCUUGAUCCCAAGGACAGGGAUGGUCAGCUCAGCUCAAUUAGGUCGGUGUUUCGUGAUCUCAUCCAAUUGCGUGUAGAAAUUCCAUCAUUAUGCUCUCAAAACUUGGUAGUGGGGAAUUAACAAGAAUUUAGACCAUUUACUACUGACAAUCUGACAGACUGAAGUUUAUGUUAGUGACCUAAGGUUAUUGGGCACUUCAGCAUUUCAGCAUUUGUGCCCUAAGUUGAUCUACCGGAUGGUGUCGGCUGAUUUUGCAUCUUCGUUCAUGCGUUCCACUGGGCACUGAUCUGCCUCCAGUCUCCACCGCAUUUCGCUAGGAGCAGCUUUCGCCUCUUCGGCAGACACACAUUACGUUUCCGAUUUAUCUAGCCUCUUCAUUUUUUUUCUUUUUCUUUUUCUGAUACGGUGGAUGAAAUAUCCUUGAUUCCGUUAACGGAAUUACUAAACUUACAAAGUUGAUUGAAAAGGCAAAACAAAUGAACCAUACAAGGGGAAUAGCCUCUCUGUAGCCAUUCUAGACAAAUUUGGCAUUCAGACCAUCUUAUUACAAGGAUCUUUCCACCCUUUGCAGACAAAUUUGGCAUUCGGACCAUCUUCUUACAAGGAUCUUUCCACCCUUGUGAGUUCUUGAGCUAUCAAAUAUUUAAGUGCCUCGACUUUCUGGCUAGUGCAAUAGCCUUGGAGUUUCACCUGUUUACUCAUUUAGAUUUUUCUUCUUCUGUAGUUAGACUAUUCUACAAGACAUAAACAUUUCUCAAGUUUUGCAACUUGGAUGCAAUUUGGUCUUUUUUUGGGGAACAAUUCACUCUUUUAACAACGUUCAGCUAGUCAAUUAGACCACCCAGGACUACUGAAGUAGGUGAUAUGCAUGGUGCUGCUAUAUCUUUGGAAGAUUACAGGCUCAUGGCAACAGUGUUUUAGUGGAUGUAGUCACUGAUUCCAGAGUAGUCAUAUACUUAUGAGUAGAAGUGUUUAUGGUAUCGUGAGGCCGCAGACGUGUGGUCUAGCAAGUUUCUUUCAUGAAUUAGAACAACUCCAACGGAGCGACCCAUUUCAUCCACCGCCGUCCGUUUGGGUCCGCGCGGAUAAAAAGUUGGCCCAAUGCGCCGACCCAAACGGAUGCGCGUCCGCUUUUUGUCCGCCUACCAACCCAUUCACGGCCCAAUUUUGAGCCUGAUUUGCGUCGGGGCGGACAUGAAGCGGACACGCGCAACGCGCGCCUACUUCCCUCCCUGGCCCGCAAGUCAACGACAAAGCGGCCACCUUUUCCCUCUAUUUUCCCCCAAACUCUCCCGCUCGCUCCCGCGCCCGCUCCCACCGCCAUGGACGACGAGUUCGAGGCCGCCGCCGCCAUCGCCUCAAUGGCCUCGUCCUUCGUCGCCGCCGCCAAAGCCAGAGGCAAGGCCCGCGCCCCCCGCAAGGCCGUCGGGCCGCCCAAGGAGAAGAAGAAGGAGUUGACGCCCGAGGAGCGGGUCGUGGAGUCAGCCAAGGCGCAAUAUGCCUCCCUCUUGGCGCGUGGGGGGAAAGAAGCUGUGCAGGACCAUGGUGACGGCGAGAAAGCCCGACCGCGGGGGAAGACCAACUCGAAGAAGGAGGACAGGCGGGACGCGGCGUCGAUCGCCUUGCUUGAAAAGGUGGAGGGCAUGAUAAGCAAGAAGGACUUGGGGGAGGAGAAGCGCCGGCAAGAAAAGGAAGAGCAAAUGCACGCCUUCAUGGAAAUCCAAAAGAGGAGGCUCGAGAUGGACGCGGAGAGGCAAGCCAAGAUGCUUAAGUUGGAGGAGGCGAAGCAAGCCAAGAUGCUCGAGAUCGAGGCCACCAAUGCCAGGACCAAGGCGAAAGAAGUGGCCCUCUCAAGCAUGAAGACGGGCGUGGAGAUCAUGAGGGUUGAUCUGAACACCGUGUCGCCGAGGAAGAGGCUAUGGUUCGAGAAGAUGUAGGCCGGAAUGCUCAAGUUCGACCAGCUGUGAUCUGCGACGGUGAUCACGGAACCUUUUUUGUAUGCCGACAAGCGUGCUGGCAUGACCACGGGCCGACAUGGCGUGGUCGAAUUCCCGCCUCUUUUGGCGUGCUGGCAUGUGUGCCGGCCGCUGGCUGCCAGCGGCCAGCAUAAACUGCGUGGUGGUUUUUAAUGUAGGCAGGCAAUGUAUGCCGUCUGUUGGCAUGGUGCCGGCAUGAACUCUUGGGCGUUGGCAUGCUGGCCUGUUUUAUCUAAUGUGCGGGCAUAAAAUGGGUCGCCCGCGUUGGGCGCAGCCGACCCAAACAGAGAAAAAGCGGACAAAACCGCCGUCUGUUUGGGUCGGCCGGUUGGAGUUGCUCUUAGUGUGUACUGGUUAAAUAAGUAGUACUACGUCUGUUCAUAAAUAAGUGACGUGGUUUUACUUCAAAUUUGAACUACAACCUAGUCACUUAUUUAUGAACGGAGGGAGUAUUUGUUAGCUGUACUAUUACUUUACCCUCACCUAUGCAAUGGAAAAGAUUGGAGCUCGCCUUGUAAGUUUUGCUACAUUACUGAAUCUCCUUUAAUAAUUCAGUUUUAUUUCGAAAAACAGUAGAAACCGUUUGAUGAAGGUCAGAAUAUAUUUGCUUGGCAUAUUGCCCACAUUGAUUGGAAGCCUUAGAAAGUUCAAAUCGUGUUGUAUGCUCUAUUCUUGAACAAGUCUUCUUCUAUGUUCUUUUUGCUGGUUUGAUCAAGUUUUUCUUGCGAUUUUGAUGAACUUUCUCACGGUGUCAUAGCAUGCACAAUGGUCUUCUGUAGUGUGCUACCAUUACCAUCUAACCAUGGUUCAUGUGAAACUACUUAAUCAUUUGUGCUGAGCCUUCUGUCCUAAAGGGCCUAUUGGAGGGGUUGCUUUUUUCCCCGCUUAUGUUUUACAUUGCAGCUGAUGUCUUGAUUAAGAGAGCACAAGAGACAAGACCAUGGCUUGUUUAAGGGUCUACUUACCAAUUUUCUUAUUUUAGGAUUAUGUAGAGGGUGCCAGAAAUCUUAAGUUUAUUUUGUGCAUUUUUAACAUCUUACUGGUUUGAAGAUUAAUUUGCACAAGAAUGAGGUCACUUGCUUUGGUACAGCUGUAGACAAGCAGGAUAUCUAUGCUCAUAUCUUUACCUGCAAUGUAUGUGGCUUUCCUUUUGAGUAUUUAGGCAUUCCUAGGCAUUUUAAGUGUCUGACUAAUACAAAUUGGAAGGAAACUGAUGAUAACAUAUACUUCCCCGUUCCUAAAUAUAAGUCUUUUUAGAGGUUUCACUUGAGGACUGCAUACGUAUAUACUGUUCAUAAAGUUUUCUCCAGGGGCAUAGAUAGGUUUUGGCCUUUUUGGCGCUUUUUGAGAGGAUGCUCUCACUAUGUGGCAAAACCUGAAGCAAAUGUGCAGUCAGGUGAGCCUGUCAGAGGAACCAAUAGAGUGAUGUGGCUUUUGACUAACUCAGGUAAAUUCUCUCAACUUCCCCUUAAGUUUCAUGUUGGUUCGUAGCCCGAAAUUGCAUUCUGGCCAAGAGGAUGGAAUGAAGUUGAUUUGUGUGAGUUUUGUGAUGAGCAUGAAGCUCUAGAACAGCUGCUCUUCCUAUGCCCUCUCGCAAGAUAUGCUUUGGGAUAUUACAAGUGCCUCUCUAGGGAUAUUGACAUUGACUGUAAGCCUUCAUGCUUAAAUGACUUGUAUGGUAAUUGGUUGCUGCUUUCACUGGGAGGUACAGGAAAGUGGUGAUGUUGGGUUCUGCUGCUAUUUUCAGGACUCCAUGGAAACAAAUGAGGUCUUUAUACUGACCUAAAACAUCUUAUAUUUGUUUACAGUAAGAGUACUAGUUAUUGAAGCAGUUCAUGAUUUUCUCUAAUUUUAUUAGAAAACAUGAAAACUUUUUAUUUUCUUUUUUUUGUUCAAAAAGGAUCAGAUCUGUUAUAGAACUGUUAUAAAAGUUCACCGAAAGUACAAAGCAUCUUACAUAUAACAAAACUUACAUCGAGAAUCCGAGACCAUCGAGCAAUCACCAUUGUCGGAGCCGGCUUGACCUUGUCGAUGACAACCGGAAGUCUGGUACACGUGCCCCUAAGGACCAACGUCGUGGAGCCAUGAACACUUGCAUAGGUCUGAAGCUCUGAAGCGUCAGACACCAAAUCUCAUCACCUGACGAGAAAUCUUAACAUCACUCCGUUGACUACGUCGAGAAGAACAAACUAUUGAAGCGUGGAAGACAGACUCAAAGAAGAAGUGUCGCCAUCCCCUUGAGCGCCGUACUUGUGAGGACUAAAAAACGCUAGCCUAAACUACUGACAUGAGCGAAGACAUCGGGAUCCCCCUGCCCGUCAAAUAGACAUAACACUAUAGAUCGAUGACUCUGAUAUUUCUCAUUCAAAUGUGAUUAAAAACCUCCAGAAUAGUAACUAUGAUACUAUAAAUUUUAGGAAAAGAAUUAGGAUUUUGGGGUGGCCAAAACUUGGGCUUUUGAGUAUGGUCUGCCUAAUUGUUGCAUAUCUAAUUGAUUCAAUCAAACAUAAAAUGAAAAAAGAAAAAUCACCCACACGAAUCUCCGCCUUAAAUCAAUAACAUAGGUUAGAUGUGCAAUAGUUAUGACACAUUUAAAUGUGCUUUAGUAAAAUUGUUAACAGUUUGUUAGUUGCUGAUUAGUAGUACAAUAUAAGAUCAUCUUGAACCGAUCCCUAAUAAGAUUGUAAAGGAGCAAAGAGUUAACGCACCUAACUGAUGCCUCAACCCUUUGGAGGAGGAAAAUUGUAACGACGUGGCUACGCAGCACAGCAGCGCCCGCUUGCGAUAGUCGGCGCACGUGAGAAUAACCAACCACGUGCAUUUAUUAGUGUAUCACAAAAUUUAAAAAGUCAUAACUUUUGAACCGAGCGUCAGAAUAACGAUCCAUUUUCAUGGUUGUGUUUCUUACGACGAGCUCUUCAAAACUAGAUCCCAUAUGAAUAGGUUUUGAUGAACUUUUUUUAGCAACUUUGUGUGCUAGAUGAGACAACUUUAUUGCUAUAGGCAAGCAACUCCUUUCCCCCCUUGGUAUGACUAUCUAUAAGCGAAGAAUUCUUUCAAGUUGGUUACCAUGACUAACAUUUGACUAGAUUCACCUCUAUAAGCUUUACAUAAUUAAACAAUGAUGCUAAGUUGCCUAUGAUUGAUGCUAAGUUGCCUACAAAUAUUGUGAAAUUGCUUAAUUUUGAUGCUCAGUUGCCUACAAAAUACUAUGAAAUUGUUCAAUUUUGAUGCUUAGUUGCCUAUUAUUGAUAAUCAAUUGCCUACGGUUGAUGUUCAGUUGCCUACCAUUGAUGUCCAGUUGCCUGCUUUUUGUAAAUAGUUGCCAUAAUUGCAUUCGAGUAUCACAAAAAAGUUAGCAACUUUUAGUGUGUUCUUGCGCAACUCCAAUGCAUUCAACAAGCAACUCAUGUGUAUACACACAAUGCAAUUCAUCUAGCAUCAAAGUUGCUUCUGUUUAGCACUAAGGUUGCUUCAUCUAACAUCGAAGUUGUUUUUGAAAAAAAAUUCUUCAACAUAUAUUCAUAUGGGAUCUCGUUUUGAAGAGUUCGUCAUGAGGAACCCAACGAUGAAAACAUAUCAUAAUUCCGACACACGGUUUAGCUUUAUGAAUCUUUUUGUACAGGAAUUAAUGCACAUCCAACGCAUUAAAAGCCGAAUAUGCACAUCCAACGCAUAAUUUAACUAUUUCAGUUUGGAAAUAGUUAACGACAUCUGCCAUGUGGUUGCUAACGGUUGAAGUUAGUUAACCUUCUGGUCAUGGUAGAUAACUUUGAAAGAAUUUUCGUUGGUAGACGAUUAUAAUACGCACACUAAUAAGAAGUUACUUUUUUGCACUAAAGUUGCUCAAUAUCACCCCAAAGUUGCUAAAAAAAAGUUUGUCGGAAUCUAUCCAUAUGGGAUCUAGUUUUGAAGNNNNNNNNNNNNNNNNNNNNNNNNNNNNNNNNNNNNNNNNNNNNNNNNNNNNNNNNNNNNNNNNNNNNNNNNNNNNNNNNNNNNNNNNNNNNNNNNNNNNNNNNNNNNNNNNNNNNNNNNNNNNNNNUGGGAUCUAGUUUUGAAGUACUCGUCGCGACAAACACAAUGAUGAAAACGGAUUUGAAAUUCGAUGCUAAAGUCAAAAGUUAUGCAUUCUAGAAAAUUUUAAAGGCUCAAAUAAAUGCAUGCGCGUGAAAUUAGAGAUGGGUCUGCGCGAUCGGACGGGUAAGGCGCAUGCGCUCAGAAAGGCUUAAAAAUGCAUUUGUACUUUAAGUAUUUAGGAAAUUGUAAUCCUUUAAAUUCUAUGAGGCUGCUUCUUCAAUUUUUUAACUUCCUUUUCUCUCGUCCGCCACUAGCAGAAUCCGUGACCAUUGGCUGUCCUAGUGACCGAGAAAAUAGAUCCUCCCCCCCCCNNNNNNNNNNNNNNNNNNNNNNNNNNNNNNNNNNNNNNNNNNNNNNNNNNNNNNNNNNNNNNNNNNNNNNNNNNNNNNNNNNNNNNNNNNNNNNNNNNNNNNNNNNNNNNNNNNNNNNNNNNNNNNNNNNNNNNNNNNNNNNCCCCCCCGCCGCGCCCUAGCAACUCCGACGACCCUUGCCGGCAUCGGAAUCUCGCCAGCGGCAAGGAGCUUCACAAAAUCGUGCCAUUCAUCCCCUCACACUUUCUUGUGACCCUCGCACAGUUGUUUGCUGCUGUUGUACGAUGUCGUUGCCUUCACCUUGUGUGUGUGUGUUGCCGCUACAUGUGUGUAUGUGCAUGUAUGUUGUCGUCGUUGUUGUUGUGUGCAGUUGUUGACCGCCCCAUGUCAUUACUUGCACCCGUGGAUGGAUGAUUGAUUGACUCGCAUGUGUGCGCGUGUGUUGAUGCUGCACGUGUGUGUCUCACCGUCCCGAGUGCAUCUCGUGACCACACCUUCAAGAAGGAAAUGACACCCACGUGUCCUGGCUAGUUGCCGGAAGGAAGAAGCAAGAAUAUGUAGACAAACUUACAUAUGGGAUCAAUUUAUUUGAGGAGUUAAAUUUGAGGGAACCGUUAGAUCCGGCCACCAUUAGAGGAGAAAAGGUAUCCUUCUCUAAAUAUACUUGGAAGUAUACUCCUCUAAAUUACAUGAGAUCAGUAAGAGAUGCUCUAACUCCACAUUUUCGCGUUGUUAUCUCUUAGUGAGCAAACUCUUCUCGUACAUUCAAUGAAGGGAGCCCAAAUCCGAGCCAUGGGCCCAGAUCUGGAACCAAGAUCUAGCCGCUGCAUCCUUGAUCUCUCGAUUCAAAGAACAAACACUGCCACCCUUUUAUUCGCUCCCACGGGGUAGAAAUUAGUGGAAGAAAAAAAUAUAGAGGAAUGUUGUGAAAGGACUCCCAAAACUAACCAACUUUGAAUGGCUUCUUUCAGGAAAUAAGCAGUCAACUUGAUGAGUUAUUGGAGAGCUCCUCAGAAAUUCAUGAAGCCUUGGCAGCCUGAACACCUUUCAAGAGAAUGACUAAAUCUUUUGAAUCAUAACUUUAAAUGAUGCUUCUUUUUUGGUUGCAAAGUAAAUUUAAUGUAGUUCCUAUUAAUAUUACCCUAUGGCUCCGUUUCUCCUUCAAAUGGUUGUGACACAUCAAAAGAUCAAUGGCAAAAACUAACAACAUCAGCUUUUCUUCAACUUUGUUUUUUCGAGUCAGGUUUCUUCAUGAGCUCAUAGAUUGUUUAAUUUCUUCAAUGUGAUACCUAAGUACAACCAAUAACAAUGAAAAUGAAAGCAUAGUUCUAUCAUCAAGGUUGCAAAAUAACUUAAGUUAGCGUCCACGUGAUCACUUAUUAGUUUGAUGCAACUUCUUAUGAUGGCACCUAUAAUUGUUGGAGUCUUGUUGAUGAAUGUGGUGUCCACGUCAUAUUAUGAGAAUAUAAUACUUCCUCCUUUCCAAAAUAAGUGUUGUUGAUUUGAUACAAAAUUUAUACAAAUUUAAUAUUAAAUUUACGACACUUAUUGUGAGAUAGAGGAAGUAUGAUAGAAGACAUUGUUCUAUGGUUUGCCGUCAAGAAAAAGGUGCAAAUAUCUAAUGAAGGACGGAGCUAAUUGACUUAGAAUCUUAGAAUGUGCUGAGAUCACAACAUCAAUUAAGAAAUAGUACUUGACUCCCAAUCACCUGGAUCAGUGGUAAAGCAAUGAAAAGAAGUGGCACAAUCAUAAUUUAAAGCUGACUUUGGGUAAAACAGCAUGAUCAGAUUGCGACAAACGCAAAGUCGGCGCAUCAAAUUGCGCGCAAAAAAUAAUACUAAUUUGUUGGUUGAUUAUUAGUGUACAGUCUAAUUGCAACACAUUUUCGCCCUGUUAUCUUUCAGCCGAGCUCCAGAAAGAAGCAGCACCGGCAACUCGAGGAGAGACGAGCAGGCAGGCAAUUUUGUUGCACAACAAGGAAACGGGAACCAAGAUCCGGAUACAAGCCCAAAUCCGAGCCACGAGCCCAGAUCUGGAUAGAACCAAGAUCUAGCCACUCCAUCCUUUGAUCUCUAUAUAUAUAUACCCCAGCAACAAACGCCGCCGCCGCUCUUUUAUUCACCGCCACAACGAAGAAACUGACGGAAAGACAGGGGCGUCCUUUCGUGGUUGUUUGGAUACCGUUUUUUUUUUUUUUUUGAAAGAUUUGGAUACCGAAUAUUAGCAACAGGUUAAUAGGAAGCUACAAGUCCACCCACGGAUGCUUAAGUAAACAUCCGUCACUUUGACAGCCGUUCGAUCUGUACCACAACUGUAUCCUCGUCCGAUCCAUGUGGGGGCUCCGGCCAGUAAUCAGUGAUUCCUGAAACGACGAUCGAGUUACAGAAACAUUCGCUUUGUUGCAAAAAAUAAACUUUAAACCCAUUAAUUCCUGAAACAACGGUCGAGUUUCAGAAACAAUCGCUUUUGUUGUAGAUUUUUUUCCUUCGUCUUUCUGCAAUAGCGGCCGUGUUGCAGAAAUAAUUUCUGAAACAACAAACGGGUUGCAGAAACAAUUUCUUCAACUCCCGAAACAACAUUCGUGUUGCAGAAACAACGACCGAGUUGCAGAAAAAUUGGAGAGGGGAUGAAUGGCUGCAAGGUUGGAGGAAAGAGAGAGGAAGCUAGCAGAUGGGCGAGCGACUGGAGGCGCGGGGGUGGGGGAGGAUGGAGGCAGGGGAGGGACGGCGGCGCCGCCUGCCCCCGGCGAGCGUCGAACCUCCGGCCAGGUCACCUGGCUGCCAUCUCCUCUCCGACAAAGCUGAAUGCCAUUGAUGCAUAAUGGAGAGAGAUUGCGGAAGAGAUAAGAUGAGGGAGAGAGAAUGUGUGAUCCAAUAACGCCACGUGUCGAUCGAAGGAGGUGACGGAUGUCCCCAGCUCGAUCUGUCGGUUGAGGGAUAUACUUUUUCUAACAGGAAACGGUUUUCUAACUGAUUUUUUUAGCAACAACAGUUUUCAAGAAAAUAUGCAAUGAAUAUUCCUAGGUUUUUUGAGGAAAAAAAAAAGAAUGUUCCUCGGUGGUUUUGCAGGGCGACACGGUACCCAUACGAACGUCCGUGAUCUCAGUGUGCUCACUGUCAUCACAGCGAGGUAUGUAUGGCUGACUUGUGCCACGCCCACAUCGUGGUGCAUCAUUAUCACUAAAACUAGAAAAGCGAUGCAAUAUCAUGAUUAAUUUAGAAAAUAAAUCAUGAUUAAAAUAACUAUUAGCAUGCAUAGUUCUUGCAUAUUACUCUCUUCAUUCUGUAAUGUAAAAUGUUUUUACAAGCUAUAAACAAGCUUGCAAAAUGGUCUUAUAUCAUCUAUUACCAUUAAAAAAGACGAGAGGGCAAAUUCAACUUAUAAUCUGAAUCAUUUAAUGACAUUAUUAAGGGUCUAAAAAGUUGUUAAUGAAAUUGAUCCCUUCGUUAACGAAACCAGCCACGCUAAUCACGAAACCCACCGCAUCCAUGUUCGGCGGGCUACCAGCAACGGCAGAGGCUUAGCCCAUCCUACACGUUGCAAACACUCCUUCUCGGAGCUCCCAUCCCGGAGCCGAAAUCGAGAAGAGAUGGACGACGACCUCGGCCUCGGCUUCCCGGGGGCUGGCGGCUACGACGCCAUGGCCGGAUACGCCGACAACGAGGACGAGCAGGCCAUGAAGAGACUCUAGGUCGUCGCCGGUGCCGCCCCGGCAAAGGAGGAGGAGAUCGACGAGGGGUAUGCCGUCGUGACGAUGAAGGCGGGGGAGGAGAGGAGGGGUCGGGAAGGAGGGCCUCCGGAAGAAGCUGGUGAGGGAGGGGGACGUGUCUAUACCCGAGAACAAAAGAAGGCAUCUCAGAAGUUUCUCCCUGGUUAUGUAUGGACCAUCGCUUAGCACAUCUGCACGGAGGAAGGGCUGGCCACUGAACUACAUUGGUGAUAUGGAUGGUUUGUGGAUGCGAGCGGAGUGAUGCUAUUCUGCGAGGGAGAUGAACAGUGUUGGCGGGCCGAUGUAAGAUGUUGUGAAACAGGGUGAGGCGCGCUGCAAAGGUCGUGUUUCGUUGCUGCGAUCGGCGCCGUGUGGCAGCCGGUGUCGGCUCAGGCGAUGCUGCGGAGCGGGGCGCUGUUAGCGGUGAUGUGGGGAACCGACGUCUGCUGGGGAGCGACACAAAAGUGGUGUUGAGGGCGUAUGGGAGCCAGGGCAGUCGAGCAAAUCCAACGGCACACACGUCCUGAUCAUACAACUUGGGAAGGGGCUGAUUGUCGAAUGUGAUCGUCCAGCUGAGCACCCUAUUUAGGUAAGGGGCACGUUGUUUCAUGAACCAAUUAACACGUCUUUAUAACUUAAGAAUUAGGAAUUUAUGCACCUUACAUCAAAUUUGAAAUUCUCAAAAAUAUAUUUAUGUAUCAUAGAAUGUCAUGCUUUUAGUUGAGACGUGCAUUGCAUGUGCAUGCGUACUAGUGGGAUCAAGGGAGUGUUAGAUGAGAAAAAGGGUUGUCUGUUGCAUUGAGGAAUCAAAAAUACCACAUGUGCAUAACCCAAUAAUCAUGACUAGAGAUCCAAAUAGAUCAAGGAUCUUUAUUUCAACACAUGACAUAUCAUUUGUGUUUCCAUUUAGGCGGAUGCUAGGCGUAAGCCGGCUGAUAAGUCACAGUUAUCAACCACCUUGAUAACCGUCCGAUCGAGCACAUCGUACACCUUCGCACUUCCCCUCAACCUGCAUCUUCCCUCUUGAGAAACACUUGCAACGCCAACUGCCGCAUUCCAAGCACACCUAGCAGCACAACAGAAGGGCCGCAACGCUGCAUGAGUUGUGAUGCAUUACAAUGACCGUCAGAGUUGUGAUGCAGCGUCGUCGUUGGAGCUACGAUGCAAUGUCCGCCACAGCUGCGAUGCAGCGGUCGUGGAUGCUGCGGAGCUGUAAUGCAGUGGCCACAACGUCGUCGAAGCUACGAUCAAGCGGCGGUCGGAGUCGUCAUCGUCGGAGCUGCAAUGCAGGAGUCGCCGAAGCUGCAAUGCAGCGGCCGCCGGAGCUGCGAUGCAGCAGUCGUCAACGCCGUCGGAGCUGCAAUGCAGCGGCCAUGACGUUGCGUGAGUUGUAAUGCAACGGCCAUCGGAGUUGACGACGUCGGAACUGCAAUGCAGCGGCCAUGAUGUCGUCGUAGCUAUGAUGCAGUGGUUGUCGGAGCAGUUAUGCAGUGGGUGACGUCGCCGGGGCUGCGAUGCAGCGGUCGUCGACACUGGGUUUGCAACAAAUUGAUUCCACACGCUCGUCGAGGCCUCGAGGCUGUUGGAAUUUGGAACAAAAGGGAUUCACUAGUGGUCAUCGCCUGCUCUAGAAGGACAAGAGCAGCUUGUGUGGGCUAGCAGCUGCCGAGCCAUUACCUAGCAGUGCCCGUGGGCUGCGACCAACGCCACUCGCCGGCGGAGCCUCCUCCUGUGGCAUCGGAGCGGCAGGGAAAUGCGAUCGUGCAGCAGGGCGCGGUUGGGCAUCGCUCCAGCAUCUCCCUGCACACAACUGCGUCUUGAUUCAUGGCUCAAUGGGUGGGGAUAAGACGAUAGGAAGAUAGGAAGAGGGGAUAAGAUUUCUGCGGCACGGAAUGAAAGGCACGUGACAAGCCGUGCGAUGUUGAGGUCCACGCGGGACAUGCGUCAUAAGAAGGAGGCGGCUUACGAGCACGUAUUAUCAGCCGGUUGAAACAAAGUGAUUUCCUUCAAUUUAUCCUCCUUUCCACCCUCGCCGACGUUAGUCUCAGCGAUCACACAUUCAAAACUCAUUUGAAUGGUCAACCUUAAGGUUUCUCUCUUUCAACAUAAGAUGAAAAUCUUCUUUUCUUCUGUAAGAUUUUGACGAGAUGUGCAUGUGUGGUUAUAAUUUUUUUUCGUCUUCAAUCUGAUUUUGCUAAGGUGUUCAUUUUCAAUCUGGAUCUGCACUCAUGCAAAAGAAAAACGGAUCAUGUGAUAUCGAUUAUGGCUAUGCCCUAAAUAGUAUAAACAAUAAUGGUUAACAUGUAAAAACAACAUCAUAUUCAUAGUCAAGGAGUACAAGAGUGAUCCAGGAAUGGAUAACUGGACAGUGGUCAAAGUUAUCCUUAGUAACUAGUGGACUAAGAAUUUUUUCUUGAUUAUGGAGGUGAUAAAAAGAGUUGGAAGUAAAGGGUUACGACGAUGCAAGCUUUGUCACUAAUCCGGAUGACUCUGAGUAGUAAACCGGAUUCGUAUAGUGUAGCAGUCAUUUGGAAUGGUUCCAAAUGGCGCAUGGUAGUAGUAUCUACAGGAUGACAUAGAGAUUUGUAAAGCACACACGGAUCUGAAAGGUUCAGACAUGUUGACUAAAAACCUCUCUCACAAGCAAGAUAUGAUCAAACCCCAUGGGUGUUAGAUUCAUUACAAUCACAUUGUGAUGUGAAUUAGAUUAUUGACUCUAGUGCAAGUAGGAGACUAUUGGAAAUAUGCCCUAGAGGCAAUAAUAAAUUGGUUAUUAUUAUAUUUCCUUAGUCAUGAUAAUUGUCUAUUGUUCAUGCUAUAAUCGUAUUAACCGGAAACUGUAAUACAUGUGUGAAUACAUAGACCACACCAUGUUCGUAGUGAGCCUCUAGUUGACUAGCUCGUUGAUCAAUAGAUGGUCAUGGUUUCCUGACCAUGGACAUUGGAUGUCGUUGAUAACGGGAUGAUACGUCUCCGUCGUAUCUACUUUUCCGAACUCUUUUGCCCUUGUUUUGGACUCUAAUUUGCAUGAUUUGAAUGGAACUAACCCGGACUGACGCUGUUUUCAGCAGAAUUGCCAUGGUGUUGUUUUUAUGCAGAAAUAAAAGUUCUUGGAAUGUCCUGAAAAUUUACGGAGAAUUUUUCUGGAAUAAAAAAAAAUACAUGCGCAAAGAUCCACCAGAUGGGGCGUGCUAGUGGGCCACAAGCCCACAGGGCGCGGCCACCCCCCUGGUCGCGCCGUGAGGGCUUGUGGGGCCCACGUGGCACCACCGCCCCCAGACUCAGCUCUAUGUCUUCCGUCUCGCCCGAAAAAAACAGAGAGAAGGUUUCAUCGCGUUUUACGAUACGGAGGCGCCGCCACCUCCUGUUCUUCAUCUGGAGGGCAGAUCUAGAGUCCGUUUCGGGCUCCGGAGAGGGGAGAUCGUCGCCAUCAUCAUCAUGAACCUUCCUCCAUCGACAAUUCCAUGAUGCUCUUCAUCGUUCGUGAGUAAUCUCAUCAUAGGUUGCUGGACGGUGAUGAGUUGGAUGAGAUCUAUCAUGUAAUCGAGUUCGUUUUUGACGGGGAUUGAUCCCUAGUAUCCACUAUGUUCUAGAUUGAUGUUGCUACUACUUCGCUAUGCUUAAUGCUUGUCACUAGGGCCCGAGUGCCAUGAUUUUAGAUCUGAACCUAUUAUGUUGUCGCCAAUAUAUGUGUGCUUUAGAUCAUAUCUUGCAAGUUGUAGUCACCUACUAUGUGUUAUGACCCGGCAACCCCGGAGUGACAAUAGCCGGAACCACUCUUGGAGAUGACCAUAGUAUGAGGAGUUCAUGUAUUCACCGCGUGUUAAUGCGUUGGUCCGGUUCUUUAUUAAAAGGAGAACCUUAAUAUCCCGUAGUUUCCAUUAGGACCCCGCUGCCACGGGAGGGAUGGACAAUAGAUGGCAUGCAAGUUCUUUUCCCUAAGCACGUAUGACUACAUACGGAAUACAUGCCUACAUUAGAUCGACGAACGGGAGCUAGUUACAUAUCUCUCCGUGGUAUAGCUGUUACAUGAUGAAUCACAUCCGUCAUACUCAUCCAUCACCGAUCCACUGCCUACGAGUCUUUUACUACUGGUCCUUGCUACGUUACUUUGUUUAGGCUUGUCCCUUGCUACAAAAGGGAUUGGGCCACUUUGCUGCUACUGUUGCUACUGAUGUUACUUUGCUGCUGUUGCUACUGCUGUUCCUUGCUACUUCGUUGUUACUUGUUGCAAGAUCCUUUUCCGACACUGUUGUCGGGGAAGAAUAGUUACUCGCUCACGUGCAACCUACUGGCGCCAUUGAUACAACAGUUAGGAAUAGUCUGCCGUCAACAGAUCAUUUCUGGCACCGUUGCUAUCAUACCACUUUGCUACUGAUACUUUGCUUGCAGACACUAAUCUUUCAGGUGUGGUUGACUCUGACAAACUCAGUUGCUAAUACUUGAGAAUAUUCUUUCGCUUCUCCUUUGGACCCUUCAAAAUUGUUGCGAUCCCCUGUACUUGUGGGUUAUCACGGGAUCACAUCAUUAGGAGAAUGAUGUGAUGGACAAGACCCAAUCCUAAGCAUAGCACAAGAUUAUGUAGUUCGUUUGCUAGAUCUUUUCUAAUGUCAAGUAUCAUUUCCUUAGGCCAUGAGAUUGUGCAACUCCCGGAUAUCGUAGGAAUGCUUUGGGUGUAUCAAAUAUCACAACGUAACUGGGUGACUAUAAAUGUGCACUACAUGUAUCUCCGAAAGUGUCUGUUGGUUUGGUACGAAUCGAGACUGGGAUUUGUCACUCCGUGUGACGGACAGGUAUCUCUGGGCCCACUCGAUAAUACAUCAUCAUAAUGAGCUCAAUGUCACUAAGGAGUUAGUCACGGGAUCAUGUGUUACGGAACAAGUAAAGAGACUCGCCGGUAACGAGAUUGAACAAGGUAUAGAGAUACCGACGAUCGAAUCUUGGGCAAGUAAUAUACCGAUGGACAAAGGGAAUUGUAUACGGGAUUAAGUGAAUCUCCGACAUCGUGGUUCAUCCGAUGAGAUCAUCGUGGAACAUGUGAGAGCCAAUAUGGGUAUCCAUAUCCCGCUAUUGGUUAUUGGCCGGAGAGGUUUGUCGAUCAUGUCUGCAUGGUACCCGAACCCGUAGGGUCUACACACUUAAGGUUCGGUGACGCUAGAGUUGUAAUGCGAAUUGUAUGUGGUUACCAAAAGUUGUUCGGAGUCCCGGAUGAUAUCCGGACGUCACGAGGAGUUCCGGAAUGAUCCGGAGGUAAAGAUUUAUAUAUGGGAAGUCCUAUUUUGGCCACCGAAAAAUGUUCGGGAUUUUUCAGUAUUGUACCGGGAAGGUUCUAGAAGGUUCCGGAGUGGGGCACACCUGCAUGGAGGGACCCACAUGAACGUGGGUACUGGGGGCAAGGCCUCACACCCCUGGUCAAGGCGCACCAAGACCCCCCCCCCCCUUAGAAGGAAUAAGUGUUGGAAUUAUGCCCUAGAGGCAAUAAUAAAUGUAUAGUUAUUAUUAUAAUUCCUGUAUCAAGAUAAUAGUUUAUUAUCCAUGCUAUAAUUGUAUUGAAUGAAGACUCAUUUACAUGUGUGGAUACAUAGACAAAACACCAUCCCUAGCAUGCCUCUAGUUGGCUAGCCAGUUGAUCGAUGAUAGUCAGUGUCUUCUGAUUAUGAACAAGGUGUUGUUGCUUGAUAACUGGAUCACGUCAUUGGGAGAAUCACGUGAUGGACUAGACCCAAACUAAUAGACGUAGCAUGUUGAUCGUGUCAUUUUGUUGCUACUGUUUUCUGCGUGUCAAGUAUUUAUUCCUAUGACCAUGAGAUCAUAUAACUCACUGACACCGGAGGAAUGCUUUGUGUGUAUCAAACAUCGCAACGUAACUGGGUGACUAUAAAGAUGCUCUACAGGUAUCUCCGAAGGUGUUAGUUGAGUUAGUAUGGAUCAAGACUGGGAUUUGUCACUCCGUGUGACGGAGAGGUAUCUCGGGGCCCACUCGGUAAUACAACAUCACACACAAGCCUUGCAAGCAAUGUAACUUAGUGUAAGUUGCGGGAUCUUGUAUUACGGAACGAGUAAAGAGACUUGCCGGUAAACGAGAUUGAAAUAGGUAUGCGGAUACUGACGAUCGAAUCUCGGGCAAGUAACAUACCGAAGGACAAAGGGAAUGACAUACGGGAUUAUACGAAUCCUUGGCACUGAGGUUCAAACGAUAAGAUCUUCGUAGAAUAUGUAGGAUCCAAUAUGGGCAUCCAGGUCCCGCUAUUGGAUAUUGACCGAGGAGUCUCUCGGGUCAUGUCUACAUAGUUCUCGAACCCGCAGGGUCUGCACACUUAAGGUUCGACGUUGUUUUAUGCGUAUUUGAGUUAUAUGGUUGGUUACCGAAUGUUGUUCGGAGUCCCGGAUGAGAUCACGGACGUCACGAGGGUUUCCGGAAUGGUCCGGAAACGAAGAUUGAUAUAUAGGAUGACCCCAUUUGGUUACCGGAAGGUUUUCGUGCAUUACCGGAAAAGUUUCGGGCUCAUCGGUAGUGUACCGGGAGUGCCGGGAGGGGUGCCGGGGACCAUCGGGAGGGGUGUCACGCCCCAAGGGGUCUCAUGGGCUAUGGGAAGAGAUAAACCAGCCCCUAGUGGGCUGGAAUAAGUUCCCACUAAGGCCCAUAAGGUUGAGAAGGAAAAAACACAAGGUGGAAAGAGUUUCCAAGUGGGAAGGUGGAAUCCUACUCCAAGUAGGAUUGGAGUAGGGCUCCUCCACCUCCAAUUUCGGCCAAACCUUGAGGGUUUGAGGCUGCCUCUUCCCUCCCCCUCCCUCCUAUAUAUACUAAGGUAUUAGGGCUGAUUUGAGACAACUUUUUGCCACGGCAGCCCGACCACAUACUUCCAUAGUUUUUCCUCUAGAUCGCGUUUCUGCGGAGCUCGGGCGGAGCCCUGCUGAGACGAGAUCAUCACCAACCUCCGGAGCGCCGUCACGCUGCCGGAGAACUCUUCUACCUCUCCGUCUCUCUUGCUGGAUCAAGAAGGCCGAGAUCAUCGUCGAGCUGUACGUGUGCUGAACGCGGAGGUGCCGUCCGUUCGGUACUAGAUCGUGGGACUGAUCGCGGGAUUGUUCGCGGGGCGGAUCGAGGGACGUGAGGACGUUCCACUACAUCAACCGCGUUCUCUAACGCUUCUGCUGUACGAUCUACAAGGGUACGUAGAUCACUCAUCCCCUCUCGUAGAUGGACAUCACCAUGAUAGGUCUUCGUGCGCGUAGGAAAAUUUUUGUUUCCCAUGCGACGUUCCCCAACAAUAAGAUCAUAUCCCGAAGGGAUAAGAUCAAGAUCCCUAAAAAGGGGGAUAACAAUCGGUGAGGAAGGGAAAGGAUGGGAUUUCUUUCCUCCCACCUUUGACAACGCCCCAAUGGACUUAGAGGGCAAGAAACCAGCCCCCUCCACCCCUAUAUAUAGUGGGGAGGUGCAUGGGGAGACUUACCCCUUGCCCCUGGCGCAGGCCUCCCCCCUCCUACACCUUCUCCUCCUUUGUAGUGCUUAGCGAAGCUCUACCGGAGAACCACAAGCUCCACCGCCACCAUGCCGUCGUGCUGCCGGCGCUCUCCCUCAACUCCCCCCUUGCUGGAUCAAGAAGGAGGAGACGUCCUCGGGCUGUACGUGUGUUGAACGCGGAGGCGUCGUCCGUUCGGCGCUUGGUUCGGAUCUUCCGCGAUUUGAAUCAUCACGAGUACGACUCCAUCAACCGCGUUCUUUGCAACGCUUUCGCUUAGCAAUCUUCAAGGGUAUGAAGAUGCACUCCCUCUCUCUCGUUGCUAGCAUCUCCUAGAUUGAUCUUGGUGACACGUAGGAUUUUUUUUGAAUGGUUACUACGUUCCCCAACACCAAAAGCCUCUCUACCCUUCACAAUAUAUAAGAGGGAGGGGAGGGGUGGUGCCUUAGGGACUUGCCCUAGGGUUCGACCGCCGCAAGGAGGAGGGAGGAGUCCUCCUCCAAUACGGUUUGGAGGAGGAGAACUCCUCUCCAACUCGGUUUGGCCCCACCUCUUUUUCCUUUCUCCACUUCAGCCGAAUAGGUCCCCUUGGGCUGGCCACCAGCCCACCAGGGGCUGGUGCGCCACCCUUGGGCCUAUUUGGUCCCCUCCCGGGUGGGUGGCCCCUCCCGGUGGAACUCUGGAGCCCAUUCGUCACUCCCGGUACUUUACCGGCAAUGCCUGAAAUCCUUCCGGAAGCCAAAUGGAUACUUCCUAUAUAUCAAUAUUUGUCUCCAGACCAUUUCGAAAACCCUCAUGAUGUCCGUGAUCUCAUUCGGGACUCCGAACAAUAUUCAGUUACCAACAUCAAUAAUUCAACUAUACUGAAACGUCACUGAACCUUAAGUGUGCAGACCCUGCGGGUUUGAGAACUAUGUAGACAUGACCGAGACACGGUCAAUAUGAAACAACGGGACCUGGAUGUCCAUAUUGGAUCCUACAUAUUCUACGAAGAUCUUUAAUCAGUUGAACCUCUAUGUCAAGGAUUUAGUUAAUCCCGUAUAACAUUUCCUUUGUCCUUCGGUAUGUUACUUGCCCGAGUUUCGAUCGUCGAUAUCUCUAUACCUAUCUGAAUCUCGUUACUGUCAAGUCUCUUUACUCGUCCCGUAAUAUAAAACCCCGUGGAUAACUCUUUAGUCACAAUGCUUGCAGGGCUUGAUGUGAUGUUUUACUACCGAGUGGGCCCCGAGAUACCUCUCCAUCAUACGGAGUGACAAAUCCCAGUCUUGAUCCGUGCUAACUCAACGGACACGUUUGGAGAUACCCGUAGAGCACUUUUAUAGUCACCCAGUUACGUUGCGACGUUUGAUACACACAAGGUAUUCCUCUGGCGUCAGUGAGUUAUAUGAUCUCAUGGUCAUAGAAUACUUGACGUACCGAAAACAGUAGUAAUUAAAUGAUACGAUCACAUGGUACGCUCAUAGUUUGGGUUUUCUCCAUCACAUCAUUCUCCUAAUGACGUAAUCCCGUUAUCAAGUGACAACACUUUUCUAUGGCCAGGAAACCUUGACCAUCUUUGAUCAACGAGCUAGUCAACUAGAGGCUUACUAGGGACAUUGUGUUGUCUAUGUAUCCACACAUGUAUGCGAGUUUCCAUUCAAUACAAUUCUAGCAUGGAUAAUAAACAAUUAUCUUAAACAAGAAAAUAUAAUAAUAACUAUUUAUUAUUGCCUCUAGGGCAUAUUUCCAACACUAUAUCCAAAACAAACCCUUCUAACGAGCACUACUAGAUCCACAAAACACCAUACUUUCCUCUACAUGAAGAUAGAUCAACUCAUCCGACCACUUAAGAUCUAGAGACGGAGCAUGGCCUAGGACAUGGAGGCAGAGCAGAGCCAGUAUAUGGUCAUGAAGAUAAACGAGAUGGAGGAUAUCGUCUGAACGACGAAUGCGCGUGUUCGGUCCAUUGCUCGGUCGAGCGUUCCAUCGAUAUGGUAACCUCAACUGCUACACCGCUGAGAAAGAAAAGGUAUCAUGAGAAAGGCAAGGAUGAGGGGUGGGGCGGGGGAGGAGGGAGUGGGAGGAUUGGUCGACGAGGCACGGAAAAAAGAAGCUAAAUAAGGAAAUUGGAUUGACCAUGUGCGACACGACCAGGUGGGCGAACGACCUGAUGUGGUCUGGUGUAGAAAAAAAACCCCGGUUCAACCAUGAAAAAAAGACUUAAAACCAGCACUAAAUAAAAAAACCGUAUCGAGUAAAAAUCGGCUUAGGGGUAAAAUGUAGCACCAAGUCAGUCAACAGGGGCACAAAUUGAGGAUUUCCUCGACAUUGAGUAAAAUUUAUCAAAAGGGUGAAUCAUGGGGGUUAAUAACGGAUUCAAAUAUGCAAAUUGGAUAUUCACAAAGCCAGUCAUCAAUGAUUGGGUGAUUAGUGGGGGUCGUUGUACUCCAUCGUUUUUUUUCCUCCUCCCUCGAGGGCGUACUCCAUCGUCUCCGCCGCGCCCGAGCCGAAGCAAGCAGAGUGAGCCACCAAAUCUAGCGAGGGGCCGACGACAGCCAGCGGCGGAGAGCACACCCAGGCCAGCGGCUUCCCCUCCCCUCCCCUCCUCGUCUCGCCAUUUCCGCGGAAUCGGAGCAGGGCAGGUGCGCGCUCGUCUCCUCCCCCCAACCCCCACCCCCGCCCGCAUUGCUGAACCCGCGUACGGCUACGGCCCAACCCAAACCACCGCCCCCGGCGACUCCCAGCGGCGGCGGCCGGUAGCAGGCUUCGCUUCCCCCGCUAAGAUCCCCGACCUCGGCCGUGCUUGCUCGCCUGCUCGAUCUAUUGCUGGGAUGUAGGGACAAGCGAGGUCUCGAUUCGGUUGGUUAUUAAGCUCAAGCCUGCUAGGAUUUCGGUUCAGGAAACGCUAGCGCUGUAAGCUGACCUUGUUCCAGUGGCAGUUCAGCUAUCUGCCGCAUUAAGCGUCCGGGUGAUGCUUCUUCACCUAGCUUCGUUCGAGGCACUAACAUCCAGUGAUUUUUUUUAUUUUUUUUUGCUGUAUCUUCCGGCGAUGGAUCAGAGAUCUGAUCCAAUGAUAGCCUGACUGGAUAAUUCCGAUGCGUUUUGUACGAGGAGUGUUCAGGGUUUCCGUUCGACCGAGUUUACCGAUAAGCAGUGCCCACGUGAGCAGGGCACGUCCCUGAACUUGUGGUGUUCUGCUGCAGGGGAUUGUUACUUGAUGGUGAUCAUGAUUCGGAAUUUUAUUUGUGACUCUGCACGAGAGAAUUCUGAAAUCAUGAUCACCUGCUAGACAACUCAGCUCUCUGGAGUGUCUGAAUUUGGUUCUCAUACCGGGCCAGAGAUUCACGGUUUUAUGGUUUAGUUAUCUCAAGGAUACUGAGAGGCAUACAUGUCAGGACUGUUGUAUGAGCAGAGCACAGCUUAGUUAUGCAGUAUAUCUGUUGGGUUUCACGAAACACUGAAUGCAAGUAUACACCAGCUGUACAUGCCGACACUCAUUGAUGAUGUGUGUGAGUGAGCUGGCGGUGGGGAUGGCGACCGAGCUUGACGCUGUUCUUGAACUGUGAAUGAAUAAGGCUCUUGCCCAUGAUGCCACCCCAUAGAGCUGGUUAUUACUUAUUAUUUUGCGGCAUUAGAUGGGAAGUCUUCUUUUUCAGCCAGCUGUUUGGUUUGUUUAUAAUCUUUUCAUUCACUGUUUGAAGACUGAAACUAGAAUUUCAUCUUCAGGUCUUGUUUGGGGUCCUCUUGAAUGGCUGUUGCUGUAAAAACAAGCGGUGGUUUUUGUAACGCACAGCAACAAUGGCUGCAUUCAACAAGAGAUCUAUUUUUAUAUGGAUAUUCUCAUUCAAAUGCCAAAGAAUGCAAAAGCAAGAAGACAAAAAGGCCUGCUUCACUGCGUGUUAAAGCUACUUCCACAAAAGUGGAAUUAGAUUUUAAUGAUCCAUCUUGGAAGCAGAAGUUUCAGGAAGACUGGGAUAAUCGUUUUAAUCUGCCACGAAUUACAGAUAUAUAUGACUUGAAACCAAGGCCAACUACAUUCUCACUUACGAAACAGAGGUUUUCUGCGCCCUCACUUCUUUGUCAUCUUUUAAUUAAUUAGCCAGCCUUCCUGUAAGCUAAUAGCUAUGCAGCAUUUCUUAUCCAAUGCCAUCUAUUAUCACUCUGGUAGAACUCCUACUGGUGAUGAAGAUAGUACACCUAAGGAUAUGUGGAAUGGUUACGUGAGCAAUGAUGACCGAGCGCUUAUGAAGGUAAGUACUCCCUAUGAAAAUUUUACCCGAAGACUCAGAUGUUAAUUUGAUAUUUAACAUUUCACGGCGUUAAAGCGUCAUUAAGCUAGGUGAGAUGGAUUGCUACUCCUAUACAGAAGAUAUGAAGAUAUGUUGUGGUAGUUUUUUAGACAUUGGCAAUCGGCAAGCAUCAUUGCACGCUUUGAUGUUAACUUUUAUAAUAAUAUGGUAUUUAAAGUUACAAUGAAUAUUAUUAUGCAAAUAUUCUGUAUGUCAAAUCUACUACUGCUAUUCUCGUAUGGUGAAUUUAAGUACUUCUUUGUAUCUUAGUCAUGAGAGUUCAAAGUUUUUGCUGCAUGCACUUUAAACAUCUAUUUUGUGAUGGAGUAUAUGCUUUCUCAGCAGCUAACUUCUAUGAUGCACGGCAUCACUGCAUUUAUUAGCACCUAAAGAAGCACGUAGCUCGCAAAAGGCAGCUUUAUUCUUGUUCCCACUAUGCUGUGAACUUAACAUAGCAAUGCUACUUUAGGUCAUAAAGUAUUCCUCGCCAACUUCUGCUGGAGCAGAGUGCAUUGAUCCUGACUGUAGCUGGGUGGAGCAAUGGUAUGAUAUCUUCUAGGAUACAAAAAGUAUUAAAUUCACAAUAUGAGUACUAUUUCUUUAUGUGCCACACGGAUGCCAUCUUUCUUCACGUGUUAUGUGUUAUGUCACAUCAACUUCUGCCCUUUUGUUUUCUACAAUGGCGGAACUUCUACUUGUUUGUUAGAUUUAACACUUGAGAAUCUUGAAGAGUCAGGCAGUGACAAAUAGCUUUAUGCAGGGUGCAUCGUGCAGGGCCUCGUAAGGAUAUAUACUAUGAGCCAAAUGAAGUAAAAGCUGCUAUAGUUACUUGUGGAGGCCUCUGCCCUGGUUUGAAUGAUGUCAUCAGACAGGUCCUUUUCUUUUAGCAUUGUUCAAACAAUUUUAUUUUGCUGGCAUGUCUACCUAACUUUUGGUACAUGCCCAUGGUACCCAUUGUGAACUUCAACUUAAGUAAGAUUAGUCAGCUCUGAAAUUAUCAUUGGGGCUAUGAAGCUCUGCUUAUCCUAUGAUUUCUCUAAUUAGCUACAAAUAAUAUAAAAAACAACAAAUUCAUUGAGUUUCAUGCACAAGGUGUCACACGCACGUGCAUUUGUCUAAUGUAAACUGCAAAAUAAAAGUAGGGCAAAUUUCAUCAGUGCAUGAGAUUGCUACAGAACUUUUACGUGUCCCCUGAUCGUCGAACAGAAAUAUGAGCGUUAUCAUUUGAAAUGUCCUUGCAUCCUUUUUAUCAGUCCAUGCAGUUUUUCAUAGAUAUGUUUUGUGGUUUUGUUGAUCCUUUCGAACGGAGCAUUUACCCUAUCCAAUAUUCUGGCAAGCAAAUAAUAUAAUAGACUCGAGUGCAAUUUUUUGGGUAAUGUUGAAUAUAUGACAUGUAUUUUGGGGUAUGACGUGUAUUGCAGGUUGUAUUCACCCUGGAGACAUAUGGGGUUAAGAAUAUUGUCGGAAUUCCAUUUGGUUUUCGUGGAUUUUAUGAAAAAGGUCUAAAAGAAAUGCCAGUAAGAAUAAUCCUCUCAGAAAUCAGCAAAACAGUUACUGCUUAUUACGUUCUCAGAUUUCAUUUUGGUAACACCAUCCAGCUUUCACGUAAUCUAGUGGAGAAUAUUAAUCUUGCUGGUGGAAGUUUUCUUGGAGUCUCCCGUGGAGGACCUAAAACUAGUGAAAUUGUAGAUAGUAUACAGGUAUGCAAUCUGAAUUGCAACAGUUUUAUUCUGUAUUGGUUAUUCCUAUAUUUUUUUAAUAAUCAUAUGUUUUUUCAGAAAAUUAUUAAUGAUUAUCUGGUUUUUUAGGCCAGAAGAAUUGAUAUGCUUUUUGUACUUGGUGGAAAUGGUACCCAUGCAGGAGCAAAUGCUAUCCAUGAUGAGGUUCUUAUAUCUUUAUAUUUCUUGUCAGUCCUUUAUUUCUUACUCCAAAGCACUAGGAAAACGUCCUACUGUGAUUUUUAUAUAUAAUAAAGUUAGUAUGGUUAGUACAGAAGUUCAAUAAUUAGGGGGUUAGUAUGAAUAGUAUUUACAUAGGGUAGUUAAAGCUGAGAGGAGAUAAGGUUGUAUGCAUGGGAUUAGAGAUUUUGUUGAAUCCGUGACUCUCUGGAGAUACUUCUGCUUGGCCCUGUGGGUCGUCAGGAUCAGGUCAUUGUUAGACAUGAGAUAUUGUAGGGAUAUUGUGUNNNNNNNNNNNNNNNNNNNNNNNNNNNNNNNNNNNNNNNNNNNNNNNNNNNNNNNNNNNNNNNNNNNNNNNNNNNNNNNNNNNNNNNNNNNNNNNNNNNNNAGUCAUGACUUCUCCAAUCCCACUUUCAAUAUUGUCGCAAAUAUCAUAUUCAUCAUGAGGUUUGAACAAAUUUUCAAGAUCAUAAGAAAGAUCAUCACCCCAAUCAUGAUUAUUGCAACAAGUAGUGGNNNNNNNNNNNNNNNNNNNNNNNNNNNNNNNNNNNNNNNNNNNNNNNNNNNNNNNNNNNNNNNNNNNNNNNNNNNNNNNNNNNNNNNNNNNNNNNNNNNNNNNNNNNNNNNNNNNNNNNNNNNNNNNNNNNNNNNNNNNNNNNNNNNNNNNNNNNNNNNNNNNNNNNNNNNNNNNNNNNNNNNNNNNNNNNNNNNNNNNNNNNNNNNNNNNNNNNNNNNNNNNNNNNNNNNNNNNNNNNNNNNNNNNNNNNNNNNNNNNNNNNNNNNNNNNNNNNNNNNNNNNNNNNNNNNNNNNNNNNNNNNNNNNNNNNNNNNNNNNNNNNNNNNNNNNNNNNNNNNNNNNUCAACUCACUAGCAAUUCAUUCCACAUAAGUGGGUCUCUUAAAGAUAUUAACAAACGAGGAUGCAAGCAUAUUGAAGGCACAUGGCACACAAGUGAACAAAAAGCAAGCGAGAAAAAGGGCGAACGAAAAAGGAAAAAGGAAAACGGCAAAUGUGAAGUGGGGGAGAGNNNNNNNNNNNNNNNNNNNNNNNNNNNNNNNNNNNNNNNNNNNNNNNNNNNNNNNNNNNNNNNNNNNNNNNNNNNNNNNNNNNNNNNNNNNNNNNNNNNNNNNNNNNNNNNNNNNNNNNNNNNNNNNNNNNNNNNNNNNNNNNNCGAGAGGCAACUGGCAACAAAAGUAAAUGCAAGAGAAGAGUUUGUGAGACCUACUUGGAUAGAUCUUGAUUUCUCUUCCCCAGCAACGGCGCCAGAAAUACUUCUGCUACUGCAACAAAAGACCUUCCAACGGCGCCAGAAAUAGGCACGUCGAAGGGAGAAUACUUGGCUUGAUCUUUCUACUGCGGCUACGCCUUAAGGGACUUCCUAGGCAAGUAUGCAAAGGAUUUCCCCCGUGGCCUUGGAGCCUUGCGUUGGUGUUCCCUCGAAGCGGAAAGGGUGAUGUAGCAUAGCGGUCGUAAGUAUUUCCCUCAGUUUGAGAACCAAGGUAUCAAUCCAGUGGAGGAGUAUCUCAAGAUCCUGCACAAACACAAAAACUUGCUCCCAACGCUAUGAAGGGGUUGUCAAUCCCUUAUAGAUUGUUUGCCAAGUGAGAACUGAAAGCAAUAAAGUAACAAAGCAAAGUAAAAGCGGAGAUGUAAACGAUGGAUGUGAAUAGACUCGGGGGCCGUAGUGUUUACUAGUGGCUUCUCUCAUGAAAGCAAGUAGACGGUGAGUGAACAAAUUACUGUCGAGCAAUUGAUAGAACCGCGCAAGUCGUGACGAUAUCUAUGCAAUGAUUAUUUCUAUAGGCAUCUACUACUAUUACUCCACACGUCGACCGCUAUCCAACAUGCAUCUAGUGUAUUAAGUCCAUGAGAACAGAGUAACGCCUUAAGCAAGAUGACAUGAUGUAGAGGGAUAAUCUCAAACCAAUGAUAAAAACCCCAUCUUUUUACCCUUGAUGGCAACUACUUGAUGUGUGUCUUGCUGCCCCUACUGUCAUUGGGAAAGGUCACCACAUGGCAGAACCCAAAACCAAGCACUUCUCCCAUUGCAAGAAUCAUAGAUCUAGUUGGCCAAACAAAACCCAAGACUCGGAGAGACUUACAAGGAUAUCAAAUCAUGCGUAUAAGAAAUCAGCAAAGACUCAANNNNNNNNNNNNNNNNNNNNNNNNNNNNNNNNNNNNNNNNNNNNNNNNNNNNNNNNNNNNNNNNNNNNNNNNNNNNNNNNNNNNNNNNNNNNNNNNNNNNUUUGUCAAAUUCUCAAACAUGCAAUAGAAAAGGUUGUCUAACUAGGGUGUCGUCAAUUUCUUCCGACCAAUCAUACUGUAAGAAAGAAAGACAAGCAUUUCAACGGUGUGGCAGAUCACCGGAAGAAGCCUAACCUCCCUACUGGUGAUGAGUUAUUGGCUAUGGUCAAGGAUUUGGAUCAAAUAGUAAUCUUUGGAAAGGGUCCCGAUGGUCAAUCUGUUCCAAAAGAUGACGUUACUGGACACGUGCCCAUGUGGAAAAAGAAAUCUUUAUUUUGGGAGCUACCCUAUUGGAAACACCUAGAGGUCCGGUCUUCAAUCGACGUGAUGCACGUGACGAAGAAUCUUUGUGUGAACCUGCUAGGCUUCCUGGGUGUGUAUGGAAAGACAAAAAAAUGAAAUCCCUUUGUAACAGAUGAGUUCUCGUUCGAAACCCUGAUACUUCGAGAGAGACUGUCCGUUUUGUACACGAAGUGCAUCCAGUUUUUGCCGUAACCCUCUUGACUUUUUAGCACAUGCUAUGUGGGUGAAAUGAUGAUACCAUGCCAAAUUUCAACAUUUUCAGAGUUCAUUUGUAGUGCUUUUCAAUUUCAGGGUCAACUAGCUAGCUCAAAGAAAAAUAAGUAAAUGCACGAAAAAUACCAAAUGAAGUCAGAAAUUGUUGAAAAUUUGUGAUGUGCCUUUGAAUGGUGCAUUUUGAGCACACAAAAAGUAUGGAGUUCAAAUAAGUUCAAAAAAAUGAAAUCCCUUUGUAACAGAUGAGUUCUCGUUCGAAACCCUGAUACUUCGAGAGAGAUUGUCCGUUUUGUACACGAAGUGCAUCCAGUUUUUACCGUAACCCUCUCAACUUUCUAGCACAUGCUAUGUGGGUGAAAAUGAUGAUACCAUGCCAACUUUCAACAUUUUUAGAGUUCAUUUGUAGUGCUUUUUAAUUUCAGGGUCAACCAGCUCAAAAAAAAGAGUAAAUUCACGAAAAAUAUCAAAUGAAGUCAGAAAUUUCAUACAGUUUUCUUAACUAAAAAGAGUCAACUAAAAAGUGCUUAUCAAAGUGCUUAUUUGUUGGAAAGAAUCAAGUAAAACAUUAACUAAAAAGAAACAAAAAAAGAUCAACUCAAUAGAAAACUAAAAUAGAAGAGAUAAAAAAUAUUUAAUAGCAAAGAAUUAAAAUAUAAACUAGGACUAAAAAUUAUUGAAGUAAAAAAAUGCCGCCUAUUGGGCCAUCACGGCCUGCAUACGACUAGAAACCCUACCCAACAGGUGGGCCAGCAUGCAGGCUCGCGGGCCCAAUAGGCCCAACAUGCAGUGAGAGGAGAGUUAGGCCCAUAGGCCUGCAAUAGAGAGAAGCUCAAUUGAGCAAGGCGCGGCAGUGCUUAUAAAGCACUGCCAGCGCCCCUCGCUAGGCGAGGUGGGACUAAAGGUUGCCCUGCGUCGCACCGGAGCCAGCCCAGGUCUUUAGUCCCGGAUCGGGGCUCAAACCGGGACUAAAUACGCCCUUUAGUCCCGGGUGGAGCCACGACCCGGGACUAAAGCCCCUCGUUUCCCGCCUCCUCGCCUGCCGAAAAGGGGUCUUUAGCCCCGGGUCACGGCUAGACCCGGGACUAAAGGGUGUCUUUAGUCCCGGUUCUAGCCAAGACCCGGGACUAAAGGCCCUCCUAUAUAAACGACACUUCGAAGUUUCCAACCCAUCUCCUCUCGUUUUCUUCCUCCUCUCGCUCUCGCCUGCGCACCGGACGACGACGCGAUCGAUGCCGCCAGGCUGCCGGACCUCCGCCUCGCUCUCGCCGUUGUCGACGCCCGCCAUCCUCCUUGCCGGCACCGGAUCUAUGCGCGGGCCCUCUUCUCCCCGAGGUGAGUCACUCUCUCCUCUCCCUCUCCUCCUCAAGUACGGCCCCCGGCCGCCGCCUCGGCCAGCCCGUUCUCGAUUGCCACCCCUUCCCGAGCCCAUCCACCACCGGAGAUGCCCGAUCCAUCUCGGUAGGAGCCCCGCCGCCCCGUCCAUCUGCGACGUUGGAGCCCCGCCGGUGCCGCAAACACACACACACACACACACACACACACACAGACACACACACACACACGCCGGUUGCAAGAAGAAGAAAGAUGAAAAAAAAGAAAAUAAGAUUAGGAAAAAGGAAAAUAAGAAGAGGAGGAGAAGAAAAGAAGAAAAAGGAGAAUAAGAAGAGGUGGAGAGGAG
rnacentral:lncRNA from 1 species